rnacentral:lncRNA from 1 species
AUAAAUUAAUAAAAAAAUAUUAAAAUUCUAAACUACCUUAGGAUUUGAUAUAGGAUUUAGGAUUUGAUUAGGGUUUGGUUUAGGAUUUAGGAUUUGAUUAGAUUUUGGUUUAGGAUUUGGGAUUUGGUUCGGAUUUGGUUUGGAUUUAGUUUACGGUUUAGAAUUUGAUUAGGGAUUGGUUUAGUAUUUAGGGUUUGAUUAGGAUUUUUUUUAGGAUUUAGGAUUUGGUUAGAAUUUGAUUUGAGAUUUAGUAUUUUUUAGGAUUUGAUUUAGGAAUUAGGAUUUGGUUAGGAUUUGGUUUAGAAUUUAAGAUUUUUCUAGGAUUUCAUUUAAGGUUUAGGAUUUGAUUAAGGUUAGAUUUAGGAUUUAGGAUUUGUCUAGAAUUUGGUUUAGGAUUUAGGAUUUAUCUAAGGUUUGAUUUAAGGUUUAGAGUUUGACUAGAGUUUGAUUGAAGUCUAAUAGGAUUUCAAUUAGAAUUAAAUUAGAACUUAAUAGAGAUAUAUUUAAAAUAUAUUGUAAUUAUUUUAAUAUUUUUUUGGACUUCUUAAGAAUCCUUUUAAGGUUUAUUAUGGAUUAUCUUUCAACUCCUUUAAGAUUUCUUAUUAUUUCUUUUAUAAUUUCUUUAAGAUUUAUUUUAAAUUUUAUUAAAGCUUGGUUAGUAUUAUUAAGAUUUAAUUAGAAUUUAUAUAAUAUUCUAUUAGAAUUAAGAUUUUGUUAUUGUAAUUUCUAUUCUACCUUCCAUAGCUAGGUGUUUGAUGCUCUCUCAAGCAAUACUUUACAUAAUAGGAUAUAUUUUGUGAACCCAACAUGAAAAGCUUGAAGUGGAAGGUAUUUGGAAAUUUUUCUUGAAUUAUUUGUAUUAUAGAGAAAGAAGGCAAGAGAAUUGAUGGAGGGGCUACAAGUAGUGCUUCAACUAGAGUUACAAGUAGAGGUAUUAGUGGAGGACAAGGUAUUUAUUUUGAUCUCAAUUUUACAAGCAUGUUUGAAGCUUUUGCCUUAUUCAUGCAACAACAAAUUAAAGAGCGCAAAGAGAGUAUGGAAAACAAUGCAUUACAAGUGAUUGUAGAUAAAAUUUAUCAAUUUGAAGGAAAAGACAUUAUAAAGUAUUUAAGGUGCUAUGUAAAAAAAAAUAGAGUUGAAACGUGUUUGAGAAAGAGAGAUGGUUCAAUUAUUUGAACUGCUACUACAUUGGAGAUAAGAAAUCAUAUAAGGUCUAUUAUAGGAUAUUCUAGAGGUUGAUGAAUUUUUCUUAGAAGAUAGUGAUUGAAUUAUAAAAAAAUCAUUUUUUGAAUGGAUUGAAAGGCCAAAGAAGGAUCUUUUAGCAACAAAAUUAUUAAAGAAGUUUGAAAAGCAAUAUUCUUUUUUAUUAAAGAAGAAAAGAAAAUUAUUGGAUUGAAGUAAAGUGGAACUCUUUCUUCAAGCGGUUGAUAGAGAGUUACAAGAGAAGUUAGAAAUCUUUCUUGAAGAUAAAGAAGAAGAUAAAGAAUUGACAAGAAAUUGGAAGGAAGUACAAGAUACAAUAGGAUUGUUGGUAAAAAGGAAAAGGAAAAAAAAUAAGGUGGAUUUUCAAAGUUCAUUAUAAUCAUCUAAGGUAAAAAUAUCUAUUAUCCAUUCAAUAUCUUUAAUUUAACCUUCAAUGGCUACAUCAAAGAAAGAAGAAAUGGGCAUCAAUGAAAUCAUAUAUAUAUUGAGAGAUUUGCAAAUAAAAUUUAUAAAACUUAAAAAGAAGGAAAAAUCAUCAAAAGCAUCAACAAGACAAAGAUUAGGACAAAUGGAAGGUGUAGUGCAAAGAUACAUGUAGUGUGAUAGCACAUAUCAUUCAAGAAGAGAAUGUAAGGAUUUUACAGAGGUGCUACAUAAAAGAGUUGUUUUUUUAAAGAUAGUACGAUACACUUAAAAAAAAGUGGAGAAAAAUUAGAAAUAAAUUUUGAUAAAGGAGGAAUGAAGGUGUUUGUGGAGGAUAUUUUUAAAGUGCAUAUAAUCUCAAGCAAUGAAGCAUCAAUAUAUUGGGUGGAAGCAUAUCCUAUUAAAUAUUUUAGUAUAAAUCUUGAGUUCUUAAGAGAAUCUAGUUCUUUGUCGACAAGUGUAAUAAGUUAUGUUGAGAGGAGAAAUUUAACCAGAGAUGAUUGAAAAUCUGUUGUUAAUAAUAUUUGACAAAUUAUUUGGUGGAGUGAUCUAAUAGAUGGAUUAUCUGUGUAUGUUCAUAUUGCAAGGAAUUAACAUGAAGCAUUAAUAAAAGAAAAACAAAUGAAAGAUGAAAAUAAUGAAAGGCCUUCAAAAAGAACUAUAAGGAGGAAAAAAACACAAUAAAAAAAUAAUCCUAUAUAUGAAGAGAUAAAAAAAAAUUUCUACAAAAGAAAGAGAAAUUAAAAAAAAAAUAAAAAAAAUAAAAAAAACAAAAACAAAGACUCCUGCUUAUAAACUACAAUUAAAUAUUGAAGCUACUAUAAAUUUGAAGAAAGUAUUAGAGGAGCGGAUUUUAAAUAGAAAGAUUGAAUUCACAAUUAAUAAAAUUCUAGGAAUUACAAAGCUUGAGUUUCAUGAAGUUAUUAUUGGUACAAUAAAGAAAAAAUAACAAUCUUUAGGAGACACUAUGACAUCAAAUGCAUAAAGAAUAAGAGCAAUGGAAAGCAAUGAAGAUGAAGAAGAUGAAAUGCAAAAUUUUGGAGAUGUCUUGCAAGUAUGAUUUACAAAAAGGAACGGUGUCAUUUAAGCUUCUAUUCAUUAUUCUAAAAAUAAUUAGACAAAGGCUACUAUGAAAAGUUUGAUAAAAUUGAGAGAUUUAAAAAGAACCAAUUUUAGAAUUUAUUGAUUAUGGUUGUAAAAUGAAUUUGAAAUCAAAAGAAUUAUAUGACAAGAAAAAAUGGCGUAUUGAUACUAAACAUGGGUGGAUGAUAAGAGCAAAAAAUAAUUCAGAAGGAGAUUUGUAUGGAGCUUGUCUAAAUAUUAAGGUGAAAAUAGGAGAUGUUAUUCAUAAAUAAAAUUUCUUUGUGUAAGACAUGUCUACAUAUCUUAUUAUAUUAGAAAAAUCAUAUAUUAUUGCCACACAAAUAGAAAAAAAGAUAACAGAUGAUGGUUCAGUCUAUGUAAAAAUAAAUAAAUAAAUAAAUAAAUAAAUAAAUAAAAUGAGAUGAAAGCAAUUUAAUUUUUAACUAUUUGCGCUAAUCAUGAGAGAAAUCGUGAUGAGUUGAGAGAGAGGCCAUUAUCAAAUGAGAAAUUUGAAGACCUUAAGGAUUUUUACCACACCAUUGUAAGGUAGGAUUGCAAUGGAUUAGAGAAAGAAAUGCUUCCACUUAGUUUAAAAGAAGAGAUAUUAUCUACUGAAAUUAUUGAGAUGACACAAGAUUGUAUAUUAUCUUUUAGAACUAUUGGCAAGAUAAAAAAGAAUAGAAAAAGGUUAUAUUAAAAAUAUUGAGAAAAAAUUGAAAGAAAAAGGAAAAUUUGUUGAAAAUAAAUUUAUUUCAAGAGCAUUUGAAGAAGCAAAUUUUAUAGAUACUAUAGAGAAAUUAAAUUAUUUCUUGUAAUAUAGGUUACAAGAAGAGAAUAGAGUUAUUAAUAUAUAUUCUAAAGAAUUUUAUGAUUAAAUUUAAAGAUUUAUACAAAAUUUAAGUUGCUAAGAGAUAUGUAUUGAAACUAAGUAUAAAUCAAUAGCAAAAAAGAUGAAAUUAUUGACUUUGCUACUGCCAUUAGAUUGUAAAGAAAGAAUAAGUAAAGCAUCCAUACAAUCAAAUUUAAGGGAUCCAAAGAAGAUAGGGCAUAAAUUUAUGGAUGCUACAUUAGAUGGAUUAAAUAUUGGAUGUGAUGGAUUUUUGAUAAAAUGUGAAGAAAAAUAUUUUAGAGAUAUGAUAUCACAUCAUUGAAAGGCUUUUUCAUUUAAAGCACAUGAAAUUAGGUAUGUUGAUCUAAGUAUUGUAGUAUCCAUGGUUAUUUUUACUAUUCUUCACAAACCAUAGAAGUUUUGACCAAUUCUAAUAUUAGGAGCAUAUUUAUCUAAGUUAAUAGAUUUACUCAAUAAAAAGACAAAAUAAGAAUUAUAGAACCAUCUAUGGCAUCUUAUUCUAAUUGAUGAUUUAUACUAACAAAAAAAAUGGAACAAUGAAAUUUAUACAAGACAUGUAACAUGUGAAUAUAGUGACUAUUAGAAAUAUGGAUUCAAGUCCAAUUGUGGAUGAAUUUGCAAAAGUAUUUGUUGGAAGAGCAAUCUAUUCAAUGAGUGAUCUUUAUUCAAGAUAUGAUCAAUUUCAAUUGGCAAUACAAAGUAGAUAUUUGAUAAUUAUGAAGAUACCAUUAGGAUUGAUUAAAAUGUGUAUAUUAUCAUAAAGAGCUAUAAAUUUUGUGGCACACAUGAUGAAUGGAAUAUAUAAGAUAUUAAGAGAUUUUAUUCUAAGAAUAAAAAUACCUUUCUUAGAUGAUAUAUGAAUUAAAGGAUGUGAAGAAGAAAGAAAAGAUGAGACUUGAGAUUCAAAGGGAUGUAGGAAGUUUAUGGUAGAUCAUAUUGAUGAUUGUGAGAAGAUUUUGAAAAGGUUAGAAGAAAUUCAUUUAAUCUUAUUGGAGGCAAAAUCAAUGUUUGGAAUAAAAGAAGUUUUAAUGAUAGGACACAUUUGUGGAUCAUAUAGAUGCAAGCCAAGUAUGAAAAAGGUUGAUAUUAUUAAAAAAAAUGAAAGAAUAUACAAAUACAAUUGAAGUAAGAAUAUUUUUAGGAACAUAUAUUUUUUUAUCAUAUAUGGAUACUUCAUUUUUGCACAUAUAAUAAAUCCAUUGUAUGAGCUGUUAAGAAAGAAUAAAAAAUUUCAAUGGAAAGAAGAACAAAGAAAAACUAUGAAAAAAUUGAAAGGACUUUUUUGUUCACCUCCAACUUUGAAGAAAAUAAAUUAUGAAGGUGAAAGGCCAAUGGUAUUAACAGUUGAUGCAAGUCAAAUUGAAAUAGGUUGGAAGUUGGACAAGAUGAUGAAUAAGAGAAUAAAUAUGUACUAAGGUUUGGAGAAAAGAUUUUGAAUGCUAAGCAAAGAACAUAUGCAUAAGUCAAAAGAGAAUUAUGGGAUGUAGUAAUAGUUAUGAAAAAUAAAAAAGAGUAUUUGAUUAAGGCAUCAAUAGUUAUAAAAAUAGAUUAUUUAUCUUUAUUGGGCAUGAUUAUAAGUUUUUUAAUUCUUGAAAUUACUAUAUUAAGGUGGAUAGCAUAUAUAAAAUCUAUGAAUCCAAAAUUUAAACAAAUUGCAAAGAAAGAAAAUUUGGUCAUAGAUAUGUUAUCAAGAGUAAGAUAUUAUGAUGAAGAGGAGAUAAUUGAUUUGGAAGAUGAUGUAGGUACAAAAUUUUAUACUAAUACAUUAUCAAAAGAAGAAGGUAUAUGUUUGAAUAUACCAUUAGAAAUAUUUUCAAGAGAUUUAUAUGAAGAUGAAUGGAAAGAUGUUGGGGAGUAUUUAAGCACAUUAAAGCAACAAAAAAGGUGGCCAGAUCAAGAAUUUAAGAAAAUUUUUAAGAAAGCCUAUGAAUAUUUUUUACAUGAUAGAUAUUUAUGGAAGCAUUCAAAGAAGAGAGAGGAAGUAUCAAAAAAGGUAGUAUGUAGUUUAGAAGCUCAAGAAAAGAUUAUUAAAGAAUUUCAUAAAAGUUUAUGGAUAGGGCAUUGAGGUAUUUGAGCAACAUUUAUUAAGUUGACAAAAAAAUAUUGGUGGAAGGAUAUGCACAAAGACGUAGCAAAUUUUGUAGGAUCUUGUGAAGCUUGUUAAGUACAUUCAAAUAUUUGACAUCGAGAUGGAUUACAUCUAAUAUAUCCUUUGGCUUUAUAUUAUAAGAGGGUGGUGGAUUUAGUGGCAAUACUUAUAGAACUUAGACAAAUGAAAUAUUUGCUACUUGAAUAAGAAGAUUUAUCAAAUAUAAUUGAAGGACAAGUAUUAAUAAUAAAGAAUAUUAAAGGUGUAUGCCAAUUUCUAUUAGAAGAUGUUAUUUGUUGCUAUGAUUGUAUUGGAAAAAUUAUAGCAAAUAGGAGUGAAUUGGAUGCAAAGAAAGUACGAGAAUUCUAUAAUAGAAUAGAAAUUAAGCUUUUUUUAAUAAUAGCAUAUAAUCCAAAAGAUAAUUGUAAAAGUAAACGUGGGCAUUCACCUAUUGUUAAGACAUUAAUGAAGGCAUGCAAUAGCAAAGCACAUGAAUGGCCUAGACUUCUACCAUUUGCACUAUGGAUAGAUCGUACAACUCAUAGUUUAGUAACAUGUUAUAUGCCUUUUGAAUUAAUAUAUGGAUAAAAAUUAAUAAUAUCAAUAGAAGAUGUAGUACUUACAUAGGAUGUAUCGCUUUAGAAGAAUGAUUCUAACAAAAAAGAAUUUUUAGCAUUAUGGAUUCAAUAAUUAAAAAGAAAAUUUAAUAAUAUUGAAGUGGCAAUAGAGAGAUUGAAAGAAGCAAAGAAAAAGAAUAUAGAAAGAUUUGAUAAAAAACAUCAAUUAUGAUGUAAGACAAUUGAAGAGGGUGAUUGGAUGUUAUUUGUGAUAGUAGCUUAGUCAAUCAACAUAGCACAAAAAAGAAAUUUGCAAAGAGAUGGUUUGGCCAUUAUAUUAUUAAAAGGCAUACAAAAAUAAAACAUAAUUGUUACAAGAACUUGAUAGUACAGAAUUGAAGAUACUUAUAGCAAGCAAACAAAUCAAGUUAUUUAAACAAAGAGAUUAAGAUAUUUUUUUUGAUGAAGAACAAAAUCUAAUAUAAGAUAUUGAGAUGGGAGUAGAGGAGCAAAUUGAAGAUCAAAAAUUUCAACAAGAAGAAGAGCAUUCUACAUCAAUAUAUUGAAGAAUCAUUGGCGCAUGCUAGAAGAUGCAUAGAUUCAAGGGAGAUGGAUGUCAUAAGGUAACAUGGCUAAUAAGUGAAAGAAUAUAGUAAUUAUUAUAUUAUAGAAGAUCUUAGUUCAAAAUAUUAUAGCAAAUUAGCUUAGAAAUAUAGAUAAUAGUUAAAAGGAUAGUAAAACUAAAAAGUACUAAUAUUGCCAUUCACAAAAUAGGCUUCUAUUAAUUUUGUAGGGCCAUAAAUAAAGCAAAAUAAAGUAAAUUAGAAAGUUAAAUAAUAUAAGCAUAUAUAAGAAAGAAUUAAGAGUAGAUUUUAGCAAAAUUUUUCUCAAAAAGCCAAGAAUUGAUACUCAAAGAGGACCAAUUGUCAACCAAGAUCAAAACCAGACCUUGAGGUACAAAACUACAUACAUAGAGCAAUUCUAGGAUUUUUUUAGAGAUCAAAGAGUAGAACUUGAUAGCAAACUUGGUUUCUAUGAGCAUUGAUUUUGUAUGAUUUUGUAUGAUUUUGUAUGAUUUUGUAAUGACUUUAUAAGAGCUUUACAAAAUCAAGAUUGUUUUGGAUGACUUGAGUUUUUGUGAAAUAAAAUAGGAUUGACAUUUUGGACAAUUUUAGGCAUUUUGUAGCAAAUCUUUGAGUGAAUUUUUAUAGGUUGAUAGUUAUAGUUGUACUUAAUAUUUUUUGUAAAUUUUGAUCUCUAAAAAUUAUACUUAAUAUAGUUAUAGUUGUACUUAAGUUAUAGUUUAUAGUUAAAAUAUAAUUUUAGAUCAAAAUUUUACUUAAGUACAACUAUAACUUAAGUACUUAAUAUAAAUAUUUUUUGUAAAUUUUGAUAUAAAUAUUAACACCUUUAAUUUUUUUAUAAAUUUUAGCUUGAUCUAAUAUUAACACCUUUAAUUUAAUAUUGAAUUGAAGAUUAAUAAGGUUUAAGUGGGUUCAGAUUUCAAUUAGUAGAAUUUUAGAUCCAAUGAGGAUUUCUAAUAUUUCUUGCAAUCUACCAAUUAGAUUAUAGUGAAAGUUAUAAGUGUAGAUAAUAGACUUAUUUUUCUAUGUAUAUGAGAAUUUUGAAAUCAAUUGAAUAGUGUAAAAGAGAGAUGUUAACACUAGAACAUUAGCAUCAAGGUUGGAGAAGGAGGCUGGCUAAUAUACAAGUAGUUUUUAGAAUUUUUCUUCCAUUUGAUAAUUGCAAUUGUCUUCAAAUUUAUUGUACUUGUUUGUAACUAAGAGAUUGAGAGGUAUGUAAAAUCUUAAACAAAAUCGAUGAUGUCAUGAUAUAAAACAACUAAUAGAUAAAAGGGUGAAGGUAAUAUCAUAUUUUUGAAGAUCUUAUUUCUAUUAUAUUAUAACAAAUUAUCAUCAAAAAAUAGAUAAUAGUCAAGGGAUAGAAAAAUUAAAGGUAUUAAUAUUGCCUUUUUACAAAAUAGGCUUCUACUCACUUUGUAGGACCACAAAUAGAGCAAAAUAAGGUGGAUUAGAAAAAUAAAUAAUAUAGAUACCUUUGGAAAAAAGUUAAAAAUAAUUUCUAGUAAAAAUUAUAUAAAAAAAAUUAAAUAUUUAUACCUAGAGAGGAUCAAUUAUGAACUAGGAUCGAAAUUAGACCCUGAGGCACAAAACCAAGCUCCAACGACAAUUUUGGAGAAUUUGGCAGGUCAGAGAGUGGGAUUAGAGAGCAGACUUGAUAAGAUUUUAAUGAAUAUUAUUUUUAAAGUGAUUUGGAUUUGUAUUGACUUUGUAAGAGCUUUGCAAAAUUAAGAUUUGUUUUGGGUGACUCUGGAUUUGUGAAAUAAAAAGAGAGAUACUUUUUAGAGAAUUUUAUAAGUUUGGCAGUAGAUCGACAAGUGAAAUUUUAGAAGUUUGUGGAUUUAUAUGUGUUCAAUAUAUGUUGUUAGUUUGAGCUUGAUCGAAUGGUGGGAUCGAGGGAUAAUGAGGUUUAAGUGGGUUGGGGACUUGGGAAGUAGAGUUUAAAGUCUAGUGAGGGUUUCUUAAUUUUUUUGCAAUCUAUUAGUUGGAUUGAAGUGGAAAUUAUAUGUGUGGAUAGUAGACUUAUUUUUCUAUAUAUUUGAGAAAUUUGAGAUCAAUUGAAUGGUUUGAUAAGGAGAUAUUGGUAUUGGAAAUUCAACAUUCAUAUUAAAGAAGGAGGUCGGCCAAUAUCCAAGAAAAUAUUAUGAUUGAUCUUCUUUUUGGUGAAUUUGAUCUUCUUUAAAAACAUUAUACUUAUUGUCAACUUAAUUUAUUAAGAAGUUUAAAAAUUUUGAAUUAAAUCAACGGUUCAUUCAUUAAUUUUUGAGAUUUAAAUCUAUUAUAGGAAUUACUUGGAAUUAUUUAGGAUUUGGUUAGGAUUUGUUUAGGAUUUGGUUAGGGUUUUUUUAGAAUUUAUUUAGGAUUUAUUUAGAAUUUAUUUGGAAUUUAUUUAGGAUUUGGUUACAAUUUGAUUAUGAUUUAUUUAGAAUUUGUUUAGAAUUUUUUUAGAAUUUUUUAGGAUUUGUUUAGAAUUUGACUAGGGUUUGGUUAAGAUUUGUCUAGGAUUUGGUUAGAGUUUAUUAGGAUUUGACUAGGAUUUAUUUAGGAUUUGAUUAGGAUUUGACUAGGAUUUAUUUAGGAUUUUAUUAGGAUUUGACUAGGGUUUUAUUAGAAUUUUAUUAGAUUUUGACUAGGAUUUAAUUAAGGUUUUUAUUUUAAUAUUUUAUUAAGGUUUUUAUUUUAUUAUAUUUUUGAAUUUUUGUGUUAUUUCUUUAUGAUUAUUCAAAGGGUCUCUAGGAAUUCUUUGUAUUUCUUAUAUAAUUUCUUUGAAAAUUUUGAAUGAAUUUUAUUGAUGUUUGAUUAUAUUUGCUAAUCUUUAAUUAUAAUUUAUUUAAGAAUCUAUUAGAGUUAUUAGGGCUUUUUGUUACAAUUUUCUUUUUAUCUUCCACAAUUAGGUGGCUAGUGCAUUCUCAAUCCAAAUGCCAUGUAAUAUGACAAUGAUUUAAUCAAAAAAUAUUCAGGUUCUAAACUACCCUAGGAUUUGAUUUAGGAUUUAGGAUUUGAUUAGGAUUUGAUUUAGGAUUUAAGAUUUGGUUAGGAUUUGGUUUAGAAUUUAAGAUUUCUUUAGGAUUUGGUUUAAGGUUUAGGAUUUAAUUAGGAUUGGAUUUAGGAUUUAGGAUUUGUCUAGGAUUUGGUUUAGAAUUUAGGAUUUAUCUAAGGUUUGAUUCAAGGUUUAAAGUUUGACUAGGAUUCGAUUGAAGUCCAUUAGGAUUUCAAGUAGGAUUAAAUUAGAACUUGGUAGAAAUUUUUUUAAGAUAUAUCAUUUUAAUAUUUUUUAGGACUUCUUAAGGAUGCUUUUAAGAUUUAUUAUGGAUUAUUUUUCAAUUCUUUUAAGAUUUCUUAUUAUUUCUUUUGUAAUUUCUUUAAGAUUUAUUUUAAAUUUAUUAAAGCUUAUUUAGCAUCAUUAAGGUUUAAUUAGAGUUUAUUUAGUAAUCUAUUAGAAUUAAGAUUUUUUUAUUAUAAUUUCCAUUCUACCUUUGACAGCUAGGUGUCUAGUGUACUCUCAAGCAACACUUCACGUAAUAUGACAACAAAUUUUGUUACAUUUAAAGACAAUGCAAUAUGCAUGAAAGUAGCAUUUACAAAUUACUUAUUUUUAGGUGUCAAAAAAAUUAAAAUUUCUUUAUUUCAUAUCUUUAAAUAUGUUAAAAAAAAUUUCUAGUAGAGAGUGCAUGUUGAGCAAGUUUUCUAUUUCAAAAUGGAAGUAUUCCAAAGUAGACAAUGUCUCUUCUAUCCAUCCUUAGAUUGUAAGUAGAGCAUCAAAUAUUUGCAAGAUUAUAGUUUUUUUAAAGUGACGCAAGAAAGCAAGGAAUUAAAAAAAACUCAAAUAAAAAGAAAUAAAAAGAAAAAAUUAAAAUUAUUAAGAUAUUUUAUAAUAUUAUUAAUAUUAAUUUUUAUUAAUUAUAAAGUAUUAUUAUUAGUUACAUCUCUAUAAUUGUAUAAUUUCUAUAAUUUAAUAACCAUGAUUGUACCAAUCCAACUUUUGAUGAUGGUUAUUAUGAUGAAGAAGAACUAAAAAAUCUAUGUGCCAAUUUAUGAUGAUGGAUGGAUAAAUUUAGUAAAUUAUAGAAUUAAUUUAAUAAUUUAUUUUAAAUACAUAAAAAUAUUUUAAUGAUAGAAAAAAUAUUUUUUUAAUAGAAAAAUAUAGAAAAAGUAUAGAAAAGUAUUCUAAUAAAAAAAUUUAUUCUUAAUAAUAAUAAGAGAGUUUUUAUUUGGCGGAUUAAAUUUUUUAACCAAUAUUACUAUUUUUUUCUUGAGAUGUGUAUUUUCAAGUUUAAAUAUUAUAUACUAAAGAAGACUUAUUACAUAUAUUUUGAAUAAUAGUAUAUAUGUAAUAAGUAUUAUUUGAACUAUGUAAGAAAUUUUGAAUUUUAUGCCCAUAAAUGCACAAAACUAUUUUUAUAUAUAAAAACCUACACAUUAAAGUUUUUUUAUUUUUUUAUGUUUUUAUUUUUUUCUGUAUCAACUUUAAAAAGAUGAUACAACUAAUUCAUUGAGUUCAAAAAAAAUAGAAUUAGACACUUAUGAAAUUAUUUUUAGUAAUUAAAAAUAUAUAUUAAUUAUAAAUAAAAUAAAAUAAAAUCAUAAAAUAUAAAAAUAUAUUUUAAAAUUAUUAUAAAUAAUUUAUGAAAUUUCCAUAAAAAUAAAGAGUUUCUAAAGCAACACCUCUAUAUUAUUAGCAUAAUACCUUAAAGUGGGUAUGAGGCUAUUAUGAAUGUUGCUACCAUGAUGCACACAUUGAUGUUCACUUUUAGUUGUUCUUUGACAAAGACAACAUUAUUUGGCUUGUAUAAAUAUACAUUCUUCUACUCCUCAUCUCUCUACUAUAUACAUGUGGGGUGUCGCAUUAACAAUAUGAGGAUGUCACUUUGAUAACUCCCUAUACAUGUUGUUUUUAUAAACAUUGGACAUGAAAUCAAACAUUAUAAAUGGCUAACAAUGGAAAUGGUCUAAACCAUCUUUUCAAGUUAAAAGUAGUUAUAUAGACUUUUUAGGUGCAAAGAAACAAGACGACCUUCAGGUCCAAAAAAUGAUCAGAUGGAAAGGUAAUCAAAACAUUGUUAAUAUUACUUUUUCCAUGUAGCAUUCACAAUUGAUGUGGAACAGAGCCCUCUUCAAAAACGACCAAGUUUUGAUUAGAUUCAACAUAACAUGGCUUGCUAGUCACUAAGUAGUUACAAAAGGAUAGACAUUCAAGUGGAGGAAAAAUCCUCCAACAAAGAGCUAAUUGAACACCCACCUCUACAAGUUUACAGACACAAAAUCACGUUUUUUGAUUCAAAAUGCAUUCAUUCACCACAUCAUUAACCAAAAUGUAUUCCUUUCAUAAUUUAUUCAUAAUUUAUUCAGGAAAAUCAAACAAGAAUUUAAAGAAAUUUAUGUGUCAAAAAAAAAAUAUAUAUAUAUAUAUAUAUAUAUAAAUAUAUAUUCACACAAAUGUGAAAAAAAAAUGGGAAAUCCUCACCAAAAGCCAAUGAAGGGGCGACGAAGAAGGAGCAAUGGGAGGACGGCAGCAUCGUGCAGGCUAGUCACUCACACAGUCUCCGGUGACCGUGGCAUGCUUGCCGCGCAGCAUAACGGGGCAGCCCGAUGGGUUUGCUGGUGUAGGAUCUGCCCAACCGACUGCGGGAUGCGCGACGACGCCUUCUGUGCAGGCUUCGUCGGCACCUGCCACUGCCUGUAUUCCCCGCGGUAUGUGGUAUCCCCGUCGAAUUUCACCGCCUGGUUGUCGAUGCUCUUGCCUCGCUCGACGAUCUUGUUGCACGUUGGCAGCCGUGGUUGCGGAACUCGGUCGUGUACACGGAUUCCCCCGAGAAUUUGUCCCCAAUCUCAGGGCUCUUCCAGGGAGUCCUCACGCUGCGCUCCAUUUGCGCUGAUUUGUCCCGGUAGUCGAAGUUGUAAGUAGUUUCCUGUUGGAACGGACCCCUGCUUUGGAUUGACGGUGGGCGUCGGCGCGAGGAUGUGGCGUUGUGGGGGUGAUUGACGUAGUCGCCGCUGUAAGUUGUUGCGUGAGCGAUUUUGGCAUUGCUGGUGUCUCGUGGGGGAGCCCUGCGGUGAGGCUUUUCAGGCAUGGGCAAUUUGGUGUAAUUAGCACGGUACUCGGAAACCGUGGUUACGUCAAACUGGGGGUUGAUAGAGAUGUGUUCCUUGGGGCACUUGUGGAAGCCGACGUCGUGGACGCAUUCUGUACCCUCCUGUGCGUCCCAACGAAAAGAAAUAUGAUCUAAAUGAAAUGAGAUAACAUGAUCGUAAAACCAACAAAAUUACGAUCUUAAAAUAAAAAAAAGAUUAUUUUUUGGAACAUCUCAGAUACUCACACUCGAUCUGGAAGUGCAGGUGGAACUGAGUAGCCGCUCUGGACGAGACAUUAGCUGACAAUGCUGAGGAGAUCCCUAUUAGAAUAAAUUCCUCAUUCUCUCUGAACAGGUGCCAGCAGAUGGUGGGAUCAACGAGGUUAGAGAUUGCAAUCCGUCAGGAAAUUAAUCAACAAAGUUGCCUCACGAUUCUAGUAUUCUAGUUGUCGGUGCAACUACUUCGCAAGUCUCGGCUAAAAUGAUAAAAUUCAAUUAACCAAGGAAGUCGAUCACCAUUACAAUGCAGCACCUCCGAUCUAGUGCCCCACCUACAAAUUAGUGCAUGCUACUCGGCCUUUGCGGUAGAAUCCAACAGUCUUGCUCAUGGACUGUUAUUGCGGUCUUUCUGUGCUUACUCUGCGCUGAAUGGGAUUCAACUUUAGAGUUGGAAUUAAGCUCAAGAUUUCUGAAAUACAUAGUCAUGCAACGAUAAUUCACAAGGCUUAUGCGCAACGAUUGCAUGCGGCACUGAAAGCUAGUGACCGAGAUGAAUAUUCCAACACAACACUGACGGUUUUAGUGUUUGUCACGAUUUCAAGGAUUAAAGGUUACAUGACGUUUCUGCAAUCUUCUAGAACUGCGAUGUGUUCGGGAGGGGAUCAGAAAGUAGUGCAUUAUCCAACGCCAUGGAUUCGUCGCCUGCUCGAAUCAGUGUAACUAAGGUUGAAUCUCGCUUAAUCGCACAUUCAUGAUUCCCUGGAACUAACCAUGUAGCUUGUCCACAAAACAUUGUAGACUGAACCGGCGCUUGGCAUAAACGUCCGGGCAUUGAACCGUUAAAACGAUCAAACCUCUUCGGCUAAUUCGGUGUGAUGGCAAGAGCACAACGAUUGCUACUUUCUUUCCUCCCGUCAUUGACCUGGGCGACUGUACAGCACCAUUGGAGACAAUCGAGUCCUUGGAACUUGCACACAUGAAAUCGCUUCGGCAGGAAAUAUCUUUGUUGUGUUACCUUGGGGCAAAUCCUUUUUCUCGAAGCAAUUGAUGGCACAUGAUUCACGUAGUUUUGUCAAUCAGGGAAACAAGCUCUUUCUACUAAUAGAAACAAACAUAGUUACUGUCAUCUUUGUCCUACAUGUUGUUUUAUCCUUAUUAUCAAUUUUUUAUAUAUUUGUUUACUUAUUUAUUUGAAGGCUAUUCUCUGAGUAGAUCAUCACCAUCAUCUCCUUUCUCUUGCUCGUGAUGAGAGAACUGCUUGAUCCGCUUCCCUUCUCUAGGACCAUGGAGGGCACCCAUCUGCUUUUCCACUGCAGGGUACUACUGCUUAUCUCGAUAACCGAUAAGAUGGUAUAAAAGCAACCUUUAGUACACUCACCUCGAAACGCAGUAGAGCUGUGCCAGACUAAGUCAAAAAUAGGUUCAAUGCGUGCAAUUUUAGGGUAUCGCAUGCACGAAGUUGCGAUUAAAAGCACCGUUUGGGGCUUGUGGCUGCCAAGCCCUCCUAUAUCAAGGUUUCUGCCCACAGUUACAUAUAAAAUGCACACUCAGUGAUAAACUCGAAUCAAGCCAGUACAGGCUAAAUAAUCACUCUCUUUAACAGCUUGAAGAGAGUGGCCACUUUCCCUACAUUGAGAACAAGGUUGAAAACACAGAGGUGACAUUCAACACCCCCUCUCACCCCGCAGGUUCUGACAGUGGAUGGAGAAACCAAAAUACUAACUGAGAAGAAAAUUUUCAGGGUCUCAAAGUGACAUGAAUCUUUUGUACUUGGCACCUUUGAAGUGCGUGACAAGAGAUUUACAUUUUGACCAAGAAGAAUAGUUUCCAGGUAGACGUCUUCUUUUGACUACAUAAAACCUAAAUCUCCCUGAAUUAGAAGAGCAUGAAAGAGAAUGAUAGCAGGUUGGAACUCCAGUAGAAGCAGUAUUACGAGUAAGCAGCAACAUGAUGAGUGCAAGGAUUUGUUCUUAGAUUGAUUUGUUGAAGGAAAGAACUCUAUAAGUAGAGAAGUGCGUGACAAGAGAUUUACAUUUUGACCAAGAAGAAUAGUUUCCAGGUAGACGUCCUCUUUUGACUACAUAAAACCUAAAUCUCCCUGAAUUAGAAGAGCAUGAAAGAGAAUGAUAGCAGGUUGGAACUCCAGUAGAAGCAGUAUUACGAGUAAGCAGCAACAUGAUGAGUGCAAGGAUUUGUUCUUAGAUUGAUUUGUUGAAGGAAAGAACUCUAUAAGUAGUUGCUAAUGGUCAAUAGAGUACAAGUGUUGUUAGGGAUAUCCCAUAAGGUUAGGUGCUGGUCUAUAGUGCAUUAGAGUACAAGGGGAGGGCUGGUCCUAGGAGAUAUCUCAUAUGGGUUGUAGCACUUGGUACCUUGGUACUAGUCUAUAAGGAAAGGGUUGGCAUGGGAAGAAUUAUCUCAUACCACACUCUAUUUGUUAAAGUGCAACCUUGCUAGUCCUAACUUACUUGUAUGGAGUAUGCUUUCUAUGUUUCAACAGGUUAUGGGCCCACAUUCUCUUACCAAGUAAGUUGUUCUUGCAUUAUUUCUUUGUUGCUUGUUUUUGGUGGUUGAGAUCUUAUGGUAGAGUGUUGCUAGUGAAUUGUUGAAGUCAUUGCUCCUGGAUUUGUGAGUGUAUGAGCUUAGUGCAAGACCUUGAUAGUGUCUUUGCUGAAGGAGCACUAGUAUUUGAGAGUUUUAUGAGAAAGUGAGUCAUUUUGAGUGAAGUGACGUAAGAGAGACGUUUGAAAGUCAUAAAAUCACAUUACAAACCAUUCUCCACCAUUUAGACGUAAUUUGGACUCAAAAUAUGCAAAAAGUUGCAAAACAGCGAAUUCUGGGUUUGUAGUUCAGCAAUCUUUAAGUAGUCAUAUCUUUUGCAUUACAACUCCAAAUCAAGAGUUUUUUGGACCUACUUGUAGCUUGAGAUGGCGUCUUUUGAGGGUGAUAGCUUAAGAGUUGUUGAAAAGUUUAGAGGUGACAACUUUCACCACUGGAAGGCCAAAAUGGAGCUACUUUUGGCGUCAUUGGAUCUUUGGAAGAUAGUAGAUGAGGAGGAACUUGCACCUAGGGUAGAGGCAAGCAUCAAGGAGCAAAAGGACUUCAAAAGACGAGAGAAGAAGGCUUUUGGCAUAAUUGCCACCAAUUUAGAUGAAAGCAACUUUGCUCAUGUCAUUUCUUGCAAAGGGGCAGCAGAUGCAUGGAAGUCUCUUUACAAUGUCUAUGAAAGUAGGAAUCUCUCCAAUGUGCUAUGGUCAAGGCAAAAACUCUUCACCGUGAAGAUGGAAGAAGGUGAAGAUCUCAUGGCUCAUGUGAAUAAGGUAAAAGCACUUGCAAACCAACUUGCUGUUGUUGACAAGCCUUUACUUGAAGAAGAUGUUGUGAUGGCAUUGCUCUCAAGCCUUCCGGACUCCUAUUCCUCCCUCAUUGUGGCAUUGGAGUCCAUUUCAAGGAAAGACCUCACUUUGGACUAUGUCACGACAAGACUAGCCCAUGAAGUGACCAAAAGAAAGCAAAAGGAGUCUAUUGGGGAGCAAUCAGCACUAUUUACAAGACCAAGUAAGGCAAGUGCCCCUUUUCAACGUUAUCCUCCUAAAACUUGUUACAUUUGUAGAAAAUCAGGCCAUUUUGCUAGAAAUUAUUUCAAAGCAAAGAAAGGAGAAAGAGAGAAUGCCAACAAUGCUUUUCAUGACCAUGGAGGUGAAGACUUUGCAUUCAUGGCAAAACAAACUCCUUCCAUGCUUGAUAUGAGCAAAUGGAUUGUGGAUUCCGGAUGUACCAAACACAUGACUCCAUACAAGUGUUCAUUUAACACUUAUCAACCAAUUCCAGCAACCAAGGUUUGGUUAGGUGAUAAUGGAAUGGUACAAGCCAUUGGAAUGGGCACCAUUGUAGUGGAGGUGGUGAUGAAGGACAUAAGCAAGAGAAUCACUCUCAAGGAUGUGUUGCAUGUGCCAAAGAUGAAGAAGAACCUCCUUUCGGUGAGUAAACUUGUAACUCAUGGGUGCAAAGUGCAAUUUAACAUGAAUGGAUGUUUUGUGAGAACCAUGGAAGGCAAAGAAGUAGCAAAAGGGACUAGGAAUGGCAAUCUCUAUAUUAUCAAUUGUAAGAGGAUCAAUGGAGUGGAGGUUGCUGCCUUUGCUGAAUUUCCAUCAAAUGAAGACAAGGUGGGCAUUUGGCAUCAAAGACUUGGGCAUUUGAAUGCCAAAAGCAUGAAGGAGCUUCAAUCCAUGGUAAGUGGCUUAGACCUUGGCCAUUCUACCAUGAAUCUUGCUUGUGAGGGAUGCAUUCAAGGCAAACAACAUAGGACACCAUUUCCUAGUGGAGUUGCAACAAGAGCAAACCAAUUGCUGGAGCUUGUGCAUUCAGAUGUUUGUGGACCCAUGAGGAUACCAUCUAUGAGUGGAGCAAGGUACUUUGUCACAUUUAUUGAUGACUUCUCAAGGAAGGUAUGGAUUUACAUCAUCAAGGCCAAGAGUGAGUGUUUUGCCAAGUUUAAGGAGUAGAAAGCACUUGUGGAGAAGCAAUGUGAGCACAAGAUUAAGGUGCUGCGAUCGGACAAUGGAGGUGAGUAUUUGUCCAAACACUUUGAUGAGUUAUUGAAGCAUGAAGGCAUUGCAAGACAAACCUCUACUCCCUACACUCCACAACAAAAUGGAGUUGCUGAAAGAGCAAAUCGCACUAUUGUGGAGAUGGCAAGGAGUAUGAUUCAUGCUCAAAAACUUGGGUAUGAAUAUUGGACGGAAGCUGUGGUAAAUGCCGUGUAUACAAGAAAUAGGUGUCUCACAAGUGCACUUGAUGGAAUGACUCCCCAAGAAGCUUGGACUGGUAAGAAACCUUGCAUAUCCCACAUGAGGAUUUUUGGGUGCAUUGCAUAUGUCAAGGUUCCAGAUAGUAUGAGAGGCAAACUUGAUGCAAAGGGCACAAGAUGUGUAUUCCUUGGUUAUUGUGAAGGUACCAAGGCAUAUAGGCUCAUGUGUUUAGAUACGAAAAAGAUCAUCAAAAGUCGUGAUGUAGAGUUCUUAGAGCAUAAGAGUGGUAGUGAAAAGUGAGAGAUGUGUCCAAGUGGGAGUAGUGGUGUGUUUGUGGACACAUCUUCAAUUCCAGCAAACAAACAAGAAAAUGAAGAAGAGCAUUCUCAAAGUGAAGAAGGAGAGGAAGAUGCCAUGAUAGAAGAGCCCAAUACUAUGAAGACUUCAAUUCCAGCAAGAUACAACAAGGACAAUGAAGAGAAUGAAGAUGAAGAAUACCAACCAAUGAGUAAGACAAAGAACUCCAUGAGCCAUACAAGACAGCAAGAGGUGCAUGAAGGCUCAUCGUCUUUACAAGAAAGAAGAUAUCCAACACAUGAGAGAAGACCACAAGGUGAAUGGUGGAAGAACCACAUCUUUCCACAAGUAAGUGAAGACCAUGCCAAUAUUGCUCUUCUUGAUGAUCCAUUGACUUUGUGUGAUGCAAUGAGGUGUGGUGAUGCAAUGAAGUGGGAGAUUGCCAUGCAAGAAGAAUACAAAUCUCUGAUGGACAAUGAGACAUGGGAGUUGACUCCACUUCCACCAAAUCGAUCAGCAAUUGGAUGUAAGUGGGUGUUUAGAACCAAGAGAGAUGCUAUGGGCAAUGUUGUAAGGUACAAGAGAAGAUUGGUUGCCAAAGGCUACUCACAAGUUGCUGGAGUGGACUUUAAUGAGACAUUUUCACCCGUGGCCAAGUUUACCACCAUUAGAACCAUAGUAGCAAUUGGAGCAUCAAUGGAUCUUGAGAUGCAUCAAAUGGACGUCAAGACAGCAUUCUUGAAUGGAGAAUUGGAAGAAGACAUCUAUAUGGAGCAACCUGAAGGAUUUAUUGAACAAGACAAACACCACCUUGUUUGUAAGUUGAAGAAGUCAUUGUAUGGACUCAAGCAAUCACCAAGAGCAUGGUACCAAUGCAUUGACUCAUUCUUUGUAAAGGAAGGUUUUGUAAGGAGUGAAGCUGACCAUUCUUUGUAUGUAUUGCAAGCCAAGGACUUCUUACUGGUUGUAAUCCUCUAUGUAGAUGAUUUAAUCAUCUUAAGCAACACCAUGGUAAGAUUGGAUUGGUUGAAGAAGAAAUUGGAGGGAGAAUUUGAGAUGAGUGAUUUGGGAGAGCUCUAUUAUUGUUUGGGUGUGGAAUUCACAAGAAGUAGAGAAUCAAAGACCAUCACAUUGAGCCAAAGCAAGUACAUUGAAGAAGUGUUGAAACGAUUCAACAUGGGAGAUUGCAAGCCCAUUGGAACUCCUUUGGAGGCCAACUUGAAGUUGAUGAAGCUCACGGAUGAGGAGUAUGCUGAAGUUGAGCACCAAAUGCAAGGCAUACCAUACAAGGCAGCAGUAGGCUCACUCAUGUAUGCAAUGGUAGGUACAAGGAUGGAUCUUGCAUUUGCGGUAAGUGUUGUAAGCCAACACAUGGCAAAACCAGGUCCUAUGCAUUGGGCAACCAUCAAGAGAAUCAUGAGGUACUUGAAAGGCUCUUUGAACCUCAAACUAUGUCUUGGAGGAGAUAAUAUUGCAUUACAUGGAUAUUGUGAUGUGGAUUGGGCUGGAGAUUCAAACGAUAGAAGGUCAACAACGGGCUAUGUAUUCUUUGUUGGAGUGGGAGCCAUAUCUUGGAAUUGCAAGAGACAACCAACCAUUGCAAGGUCCACAAUGGAGGCGGAGUACAUGGCAGCAAGUCAUGGAGCAAUGGAGGCAAUUUGGUUGAGGUUGUUAUUAGAAGAUAUUGGACUUGUGCAAUUGGAGGCCACUCCAUUGAGGUGUGACAAUCAAGGAUGUCUUGCUUUUGCAAAGAAUCCAAAGCAUCAUGCAAGAACCAAGCACAUUGAUAUUCAGCGUCAUUUCAUAAGAGAGAAGAUAGAAAUGGGGGUUAUUGAUAUGAUGUAUUGUGAAACUAAAGACAUGUUGGCUGAUUUAUUGACAAAAGCCUUAGUUAGAGAAAGACACAACAAGUUGAGUAAGGCAUUAGGAUUGAUAGGUAAUUGAUCAAUAGCAAAGUGGGAGUGUUGAAGGAAAGAACUCUUUAAGUAGUUGCUAAUGGUCAAUAGAGUACAAGUGUUGUUAGGGAUAUCCUAUAAGAUUAGGUUCUGGUCUAUAGUGCAUUAGAGUACAAGGGGAGGGCUGGUCCUUGGAGAUAUCCCAUAUGGGUUGUAGCACUUGGUACCUUGGUACUAGUCUAUAAGGAAAGGGUUGGCAUGGGAAGAAUUAUCUCAUACCACACUCUAUUUGUUAAAGUGCAACCUUGCUGGUCCUAACUUACUUGUGUGGAGUAUGCUUUCUAUGUUUCAACAUGAUUGUCAUACAAAUACUACCAGCAUUAUCAUAGUGAAGACAAAUUGGUUGUUUAAUAUUCAAGUGAAGGUACAAAAAUUAUAUAAAAAAUGCAAGAUGUUGUCUUGGAAGCAUCAACUAAAACCUAAUAUUUGGCUUCCAAUGAAGACAAGGCCACAAUAGGUUGCUUCUUUGAGUGCCAUGUGAUCAGAGAAUCUCCAAAUUUGAAAAUAAUACAAAUAGUUGAUUUAAUAUCUUAUAAAUUACUUGCCCAAUCAAAAUCAACAUAGCCAUAUAAAGUGUUGCAUUUCCUUUUUGUCAAAAAGAUUUCAAAAUCUUGGUGUUUCUAAUAUAUCUCAAUAUUCUUUUUGUGGCAAUAAGAUAAGAUUAUUAUGGCUUUUGUAUGAAUUUACUACAUACACCUUUAGAAAAUUCAAUAUCCAAUCUAAUAAUUGUAAGAUACAAUAAUGAGUCCACUAGACCACAAUAGAAAGUUGAAAGGUGUUGUGGCCGAUUGGUCAUUUAUAGAUAAGUUCUCAAAUAGAAUAUGCUAUAAAAUUGAUCUGAUUAUAUAAUAUGAAUCCUUCUUAGAUUUUAAGAUUGAAAUUGCAAUAGUAAGUGAUGACACUUAUUGUGAUUCUAGAUAAGAAAUGGAGUUGAUUACUCUAGAAUUCAUGAAAACUGAUGUAUCUAAAGCUUUUGUCAAAAGUAGUUUUUUGAAUUAUUCAUUGUUUUUUGAAAAAUAUGGAUUGAAGUCUAAUAUUGAUAUUAAGGAAUCUAAAUUGUAAAAAAGUAUCUCAUCAAAGAUGAUAUUUUUAGAGACUAUUAUUUUCUUGGUUGAGAAUAAGUAAAUAUGAUAAAAUUUUGAGUAAACAUUAUAGCCAACCAAAAUAUCUCCUAUUGAUCUUCAUUCUAGUUUAUUUCUAGCAUGAAAUCCUAUGUGGAUAUAUGAAAGAGAACCAAAUAUUCUAAGAUGACUUAGGCUAUUGCAUUUACUAAAGAAUAUUUCUUUAUGUGAAAUAUUAGACUUGUUAAUUUAAGUCAGUAUUCUAUUUAGUAAGUAAAUUACAGUUUUUGUUGCUUCUAGCCAUAAUGAGAUUGAAAUAUGUCUUGAUAAUAACAUUGUCUUAACUCUCUCUAGAAUAGUUCUAUUAUAUUAUUCUACUAUAUCAUUAUGUUAGAGAGUAUGAUCCUCAAUUAAUUGAUAUAAUAUUCCAUGAGUCUUGUAAUAUUCAAAGAAUACAAUAGAGCGGAAUUAUCUAUCUCAAUCCAUUCUUAGGAUAGUUAUAUUUUUUUCUAUCAUGUCUCUAAAUUUGCAAAACUUCUCAAAUGCUUAAAUUUUUAUUUUAAGAAAUAAAUCCAUAUUUUUUUGCUACAAUUAUCUACAAGAAAUAGGAAAUAUUUAUUUUUUUUCAAUAGAGAGAAUUAGAAGAGAUCCAUAGGUAUUUACAUGGAUUAAAGCUAGUAAUUGCUUUAAGUAUGUUGCUUCUUUCUUUGGUAUAGCUUCUCUACUCUAUUUUCCUUAAAGCCAAUGUUUAAAAAAUAAUAGAUUCUAUCACAAAAUUUGAUAUAUUAUACAAGCUUUUAUUUUUUGAAACAAUUGCUUUGAGGUUGGUAAAUCGUAUAUGCCUAAGGCAACAAUGUUAGAAAUAAGAGAAGUAAUUCAAAUUUUUACCAAAUGAGACAUCUAUUUUAGACUCAUCUAAUGUAUUAAGUAUAUCUAAGGUUAUAAAAUUCAUGUUAUUUUUACUAUUUGAUUAAGAAUUUUAGAAUCUUAUAAUGAUUUGGUUGCUAUAGUGAUUGAUUGCAAGGGCCAAUCUAUAGAAGUUAAUUAAUCUAGAUCUCUAAAAAUUUAUUUUGAAGCUUUAUUAUUAAUAAUCUAGUCUUUUUUUAAAGAUGAUGUUAAAAAUAAGACACUUAAUACAUUUUUAAUUUCCUUUAUAUUAUUUUAUUAUUUAUAUUCUUACUUGAAAAUUUACUAGGAAUUUAGUUGUGAGAGAUAAGUAGAAAUAUAACAAAAAAAUCCUACUAAAUCUAAUAGAGUCUUCAAUAAAUUCUAAAUAAUCUUUAAAAAUACUACUAAGUGUAAUAGAGUCUUAAAUAAAUUCUAAAUAAUCUUUAAAAAUCCUACUAAGUAGAAUAGAGUCUUAAAUAAAUUCUAAAUAAUCCUCAAAAAUCCUAAUAAAAUUCCUAAGAAAAUCCUAAAUCAAUCCUAAUCAAAUCAUAAAUCUUAAAUUAAUCCUAAUUAAAUUCUAAUUAAAUUCUAAAUCUUAAUAAAUCCUAUAGAAAAUUAAAAUCUCAAUAAUUAAUGAUUGAGCUAAUGAUUUUAAUUCAAAAUUUAUAAAAAUUUUAAUAACUAAUUUUACAAAAAGUAAAAAAAAAAUUUGAAAAAGAUCAAACUUAUUAAAUAGAAUCUUCUUAAAUGUUCUUAAAUGUUCUUCUAAAAUCUUCUUAAAUGUUGGUUAGCCUCCUUCUCCAACCUUGAAGCCAAAAUCUCUAAAUUUCAUCAUUCUAUAAAUUUCAAAUUUUACACAAUUUUUGGAAAUCAAGUUAAAUAUAUGUAUGCAUAAUUUCAUUUCAAUCUAAUGAGUAAAUUGAUAGAUAUUUUAGAAACUCUUACUAAUCUUGUAACUCCAAAUCCUAAGUCUUCAAUAUGUUUGAGCUUAAAUAAACUUUGAAUAAAAAAUUGAUCAAGCUCAAACUUGCAUCAUAAAUUACACAUAAUAAUGAUUAGUCAAUUAAAAAAACUUCACUCAUAGAUCAGCUACAAAUUUCACAUAAUUUUUCAAAGUACAAACUGUUUGAAUUUUUCAAAAUCCAAAGUCACUCAAAAAUAACCUUAACUUUGCACAGUCUUUAUAAGGUUGUUGGGCAUCUAAAUUACUUGAAAUUAAUAAUUAAAAAAUCUUACUCUUAUCUACUUUCAAAUCCUAAUUUUCAAUCAAUCAAAGAACUCUAAAAUUAUUAUAGGUGUACAAUUUUAUACCUUGGGAUUUGAUUUUGACCUUGGUUCACAAUUGGUCCUCUCUGGGUAUUAAUUCUUGAUAAUUUGAGAUAAUUUUUGUUUAAACCUAUUUUUAAUUCUUUCUUAAAGAUAUCUAUAAUAAUUAAUUAUCUCAUUUACUUUGAUUUAGCUCAUUUAUGUUCUUAUAAAGUAAAUAAAAAUUUCUUCUAUAAAAAAGUAAUAUUAAGACUAAAGUUUUUACUACCUUCUUAUUUUUUUAUUAUAUCUUUUUACUAGGCUCUUCUUUAAUAACAUCCAUAUUUUUAUUUUUCACCAUAUACUCAUAUUACCACACAAUAGUAGUACGUGCAUAGAUCUCACUAAAAUAUUGUUCAAAGAGAUUUGAAUGUAUGCUAAAGCAACUCCCUCUUAAUAUUAGAAUUAGAAUUGGUGCCAAAUAGUCAUAAGCAAGAUGUCUAAAUUCGUGACAUUUAUAACAUUCUAAUUUUUCAAUCCUCUUUUUCAUAUUAUAUCAUUCAAAUUCUCAAGGAUCUUGGAAUGAUCUUUGAGAAUAACAACCUUAGAUAGUGUUUCUAAUAAAAAAUAUAAGUAUUUUUUUGUAUUGAUUAAAAUAUACUUUCAUCUUAAUCUCCUCCAUUUAUAAUCAACAUACUAAGUUUUUAAAGAUAGGUUGCAUACACUCAUUUUGAAUAAUGUGCACCAAAGUUUCAAACUUUGGUGAUAAGAACUUAAGAAUCUUAUGGAUAAUAACAAUAUCUAAGAGAAGUUCUAUAGUUUUUUUUAAGUUAUUGAUAAAUUUAUAGAUAAUUUGUAUAAAUGAUGCAACAAUCAUGUCAUCAAUCAUCUUCAAAUUCUACUAUCUAUUUAAAGUAGUCAUAAUGUUUACAAUGGUCUAAAUGGAAUAAAGGUCUGACAAAGUUUAUCAAGCCUGUACUAAUAUGAGUCAUAAAAUUAAUUCAAUAGUUGUUUUAGGACAAAAAGGUGCAUUUAGAGUACUAAAAUUACAAUGUAUGAUGAGUAAUAUAGAAAUUCUUAGAUAAAUAGAGAAUUAAAAUGUUAAUUGUAUAAAUAGAGUCUUAGUAAGUUUUGGAGAUAAUUAUCUUAGUUGAUUUAGUAUCUUUAUUUAUUUUUGAGUAUUAAGGAUUACUUAUUAAUAUCAAUAUCUAAAUUGGCCUUCUAUCUAUAUGUACAACUUAUAAAAAACUAUAAAUAUUAUUUAGUAGUUAGAAGAAGCAUGGAAAAGAACCUCAUGUCUUUUUAAUUAUUGAUAUGGAAAAUAGAAUUUAUAAUUUAUUUAUAUUGAUUUUAUUAUUAUAAAAAUAUACCAAAGGAAGAAAAUAUAGAAUUAAAGUGCUAUUAGUAUUAUAAAAAUAUUAUAAAAAUAUUUAGAAUUUAUUAGUCUUAUCCUCCUAACUAUAUUUAAGGUGCUACAACUCAUAUGAGAUGUGUACACCUCCCUUUCUAUAAGGACUAUAUUAAUUGUUGGUCCUCUUAUUUUUUACUAGUAGAAUUAAUAUUUUAAUAUUUUUGACUUCACCAUGGUCUUCAAAAAUAUCAUAUUAGCCUAAAAACCUUGUGUAGCCUUCAAAAGCUUAGACGCCCAUAUAUACUACAUGUGAGCCUUAGUGAGGCUUGAACCUUUGAUCUAUAAGCAAAUUAUCCUUGAGAUAAAAUAUUUUCACUUAACUUUUCAUUGAUUUAUUUUUUAUUUUUAAAACCUUCAUAACUUAUUCAUAAUAACUCGAAUUUACAAGUUUCUUAUAUCAUUGAAAAGAUAAGAAAAUUGAAUUUUUAAAAUUGAUUUUUGUUUUUUACUUUUUAUUAGAUGAAUAUUAAUAAACAAAUUGUGACCAAUUUUUGAAUUUUGUAAUCUCUUAAUUUUAUUAUUUUAUUUUUUUGUAUUUUUUCUUGCUAUUUACUUCCUUUAUUUCACACUACCAAUUACUAGCAACUCUUAAUUGAAGCCAUCUUGUAAUUUAGAUUAAAGAAUGAAUUUUACUCUCAUGACUAGAUCAAAGAUUUGAGAUAUACAUACUUUGACCAUGUCUAUAAGUGAUAGUUGUAGGUAAUCCAUGGCUUUGGUCUUUCUUUUAUAGUGUUUUUCUCUAUCAUGAGCAAAGAGAUUAGGUCAAGACUUAGCAUGAGUGCCAUAGGCUUCUUUGCUUUCUAAAAUAUGAUUAAAUUCUAUGCUUUGAUUGGAUUUGGAAGACUCUCCACUAAGUUGAGUUCCACUGAGUUUUAGAUUGAAGAGGAUCUACUAUGUCCCAAAGAUCUUCUCUUUCAAGUACACUCUGAAUGGUUCUUCUCUACGUCUUAAAUUCCUUGAGAUUAUCUAACAUUUUGCUUAUAACUACUAAAUCUGUUGCUCAUCUGUCAACAACUAAGUUCAAGAAUAGUGUUUCAACUAAUAUUUUAUUCUAACACAGUCACCGCUUCUACUCACACAACGUUGCUCUGAUACCGUGAUAAACUAAAAUCAAGCCAAUACAGGCUAAAUAAUCAAUCCCUUGAACAGCUUGAAUGGAAGCACAAAUACAAAAAGUGCCCACGUUCCCUAUAUUGAGAACAACGCUGAGAACACAGAGGUGAAGUUCAACACUCAGACCUCAGAUAACAGUGAGACCAUCACCGCUUACAGUAAUCACCACCAGUGAAUUUGAUUUAAAUUAUGCCUUCCUCUCAUGUAGUCAUCCAAACCACAAACAAAGAAAAACCUUUAUACAUUAGAUUUAUUUCAGAACCGCUCCAAGUCUCUGAUUCUCUGUCGCCAAAGGUUGAAUAUCCCACAAUUCAAGGUGGAAGCCUGAUUCCAUGUGAAAUCAAGCCACAUUCUUCAAACAAGUGUAGCAAAAGUCUGCCUACUUUGGCACUAAAAGCAGAGAGUAUUUUGUCUGUCGCAUCAUCCUGACAUGGAGGAGAGCAUAUGAGAUGCCAAAAGCAGGCAACGCUUUAGUCUGACAAUUUUAGACAUGCAUAAUUUGAGUAUGGAUCAUGAACAGCACCAUGCUUCGUCAAUAAACAUUUAAAGGAAAGACUCGCCGCGAAGUCAUUCGGCGACACACCAACCAACUAGAAUCACAUACUUAUGCUCUCAAUUACUGUGAAAUAUGCUACUUAUCGAUUAAUAUAUCCACAACAUGGUCACCACCGAUGAUCCAAUCCUGUUCCUGUUUUUUUUUCAUCGUGAGAUCCUCUCCGUGAAUCUACAUGAGGACUAGACACAAAAAGUAGAUUGCCGAGUCCUACAGUUGUCGGUAGUGAAGUCAAAAUUGCUGUCCUACAAUAUUGAGGUGAAAGAGGUGACUCUACAAUUUUGACCUGGUGAAAGAGGUGACUCAAAAUUGCAGAGUUCUACAAUUGUCAUUGUAGUGUUGUGUUGGAGGCGUGGGUGAAGAUAAGAAGAGAUGGGGAAUUUGAUGAGAUGGGGAGGUUUGAGCAGGACAUGAGGGACCUUAGAUCCAAGACUUUACAAUCACUACCACCACCUCCGCGUGCAGGAAUAAGAGGUCAUGUAUGUACAUCACCGCACCUACCAUCUGCAAGUUUUACUCAAACUCCGAUUUCAAAUAAAUCUGCGAAGUUCUAGUAUUGUGCCUGUUGUCAUUAUCUAUGAUUUCUCAGGAUUUCUGUUGUAAAACCUCCUCCUCCUCCUUCUGCCUCAACAAAUUCUAAUUUCCUAGUUUGAUUCCAUCUUCAGCAACAAUAUCAAGCACCUCUACAGCAGUACAAUCCAGUUUCACAAACUACGUGUCAAGCGCAGCCUCAAGCUCAUUUUCAAACUGCUCAAGAGCCCUGCAUCAGUGUACGACGUUGAGUGGUUGCUCUGGAGCCGUUUGAAUGCGGGGCUCUUGGUUUCUUUUCCGUUGUUCUAAAACUCUUGCUUGGAUCCAUCAUUGGACGGAAUUAUCUUUGAUUAGAAAUGCCAUCCAUGUGAGAGGCUAAGACGACCUUUGCAGAAUAUACAGAAGAUUUCGACUCUGUUGAAAACAAGGUACUUAAUUGGAUUGAACUCUUUUUUGGGUGGAGAUUUAAUGUAAAAGAGGAAUUUUAUUCAUGUUCGGUUAUCUUGAAUUAUUCUUUAUGUAAUCCCUCUUGCGAGAUUUUGCGAUUACAGCAUUAAUAGCUGUUUCAAAGAUAAACACAAACUUAUUUUACUUCAUAGUCUCUUGAAAGUGUGAAGGCUGCUUUGGCCAGUGGCGAGGGUGAACACAAAGCUGCGACGAAGAAAAAAGAGAUCCCUGAGACACCUGCCCGACAAACGUGAGAGGGUCCUGCACUUGCGGAGGUGCCUGAUAGUAGUCGAUUGACCAACACUACUAUGAGACCUGCUAAUAUAUCUUGCAUAUUCAAUGCACUGUCUUCAUAUUUAUAUGCAAUUGUUGGAAUGCUCACAAAGAAAAGACUUACACAACUGAAACUUUGGAGUACAUCGGAAUGUUCAGGUUAUAGAAAUCCAGAAGAUGAGUGUUCGUCGAAGAUAGUGUAUGGUGGAAUGUGUUCGUCGAUUUUGUAAUCAGAGCAUGGAUGGCAUUCAGCUUACUAUUUCCGACUUCAUCAUGGUUACAUAAUUUGCAGAUGGUCACCACCAUUUUCCUGUGGUGACUUGGGUAUCGAAGUGAAUGAUGAGGUUUUCCCAUAACCCUACACACGGUUUGCUUCUUUCGAUGUGGGUGGAGUGGAUAUUCUCAUGCUACCUUCUACCGAAGAAAACCAACUGCCAUUCAUGCCUUUUGGUUUCAGAAGUCAAAGUGCUUGAAAUCUCAUGAUUUGUAUACCCUCGAUGACUCUUCAAAAUCUUGCACCUUUCUUGUGAUACAGAAGGUGUUCAUUGUUGCGCAGGUUUUAGGGGAUAAUUGUUCAGGGUGGACCAGUAGUUUCGGCUCCGUUGGAUUGGUAAAUCUUCCUAGUCAAGUUGAAAACACGUUGAAAAUAUGCCUAUCUAGACACUGAAGCUUUGCAGAAUUCGAGUGUAAGAUUUAAAAGGCUUACAAUAUAUUGAUUACUGUUUUAUAAAACCUUUAAGUAAUUAUCCUUUUCCAGCAGAAAUCUCAUGUCUUUUGCAGAGGAAAAAACAACUUCCACCACUGACCUUGUAUGCCAAUUUAGCGUACGAACAUGGAACAACAUGUUCAACCGUUAUUUUCCAUGAGUUUCGCUUACAAGAUCAACCAUUUGACACACAUUUAUGAGCGCAUACCUUCAAACCAUUGACAAGCUCUCACACGUAGAUGAAGACUUCAAGUGAAUUUGCUACCUGAAACUGUGCUGGAAAAAACAGUUAACAAGCUGUCACCUAAAACUCAAAAUGCAACAAAAAUCUUUGUAUAUCAAAGAUGAAAAUGCUCCUACAUGGAGACGGCGUUCUAGAGUAAAGAUCAAAUAAGAUGGUCAUCAAAAGCCCAAGCACAGACACAGCUGCUGAGUGCUUCGACGAGCAUAGAAUUCAGUGCCUCUACAUGUACAGUAGAACAGCUCAGAUAAAAUAUUCUAAGCCAUUGGGCUCGACUAAAACCCUCACACUCUGCUCACUGAAAAGGGUUCAUUUCAGUGGAAAGCAAGCCGCUGAAAUUCUGCAUCAUAUUUAGCAUUACCUGGACUUUCACCUCUGUACAUUCUCCUCUCAAUGUCCUGACGCUAAUUCAAGCGUACUAAACUUCUUUAGUGCGAACAGUGAAUCGAGAGUGAGGAUUGAAGAGCUUCAGUAGCUGGCCACUCUUGAUGGAUUUCGAUCUCAAAUCCUAACACAUGUGGCUGAGGUAAAUAAAAGAACGCCAUUGCCUUGGCUCCAGCUUGUGUCUAGUCACGAAGGAUAACAAGGAGCAAGCUGAUGAUUGCAUGAAGAUGGAAAAGAAUGUGUAUCAGGACACAAAAGUUAUCAUCUAUGUACACACUUGAACCCGCGGCAGAUGCCCAGCCAGAUAGCAAACAGAACGCAACAAACGAUGAGAUCGAGAACCAAAACAAACUUCACGUUGCGCCACCACAUUUUGGACGCCAACUCCCGAGCCCUGAGCUUCUUGUUGUUGAGAUCCAUGUUGGAGGAGGUGCCAUCCCCUUCAUAUUUCUGGUUUUUUUUCGUCAUCAUAAUCUCCUUCACCUGAAUGACCUGUGUAAGAAACCCCGAUUUUAGCUGUGAUCGAGCUGUUAGCGAUUUUAGCAAUGCUUGACAGUAAUGUAUUUUAUGGUUCUAAGGGAAUCUGAGCCCUUGCAUUUAUUUUCAGCAUCGAGCAGGUUUGAAAGCAGCUUGAAAUAUUUCACUUUAGAGUUCACAUAAUCUCCGUACUUUAAGAAAAAAUGCAUCAAAACCACAUAUUUUCAAUGCAAAAAUCCCUAAGCGAAAUCUAAAGUCUCGCAUGUUGAAUUUGUGAUAAGGUUAUCAGCCUCUCCUUCUCCUUCUCUUUCUCUCUUUAUUUAUUUAUUAUAUAUGUAUAUAUACAGAUAUCUAUCUAUAUACAUGUUUGUACACACAUACACGAUAGAACUAGUGCACAACUGCAUCCACACCUGAUGGUCCUUUUUGUCGGUUUUCGGAUGAAUGCUCUUAGUGAGCGGCGACACACCAUCGCCAUUUGAACGUUCGGCCCGGGGAGAAUCGGACGGGCUCAAGACGGUCUCAUCAUUGGAAAUUGCAUGGUGGUUCCCGUCGUCCAAAUCGACCUCUUUUUGCGGCACACCCACAAGAGGCCGCACUAAAGAUUUGAAAACCCCAGAAAAAUCGCUAACCAAAGCAUUUCUUUCCAAUUGAUAGCCAUCAAUAUUGCGAGAAUGAAGAACCCGCUUGAACUCGAUCCUCACUUGCUCUAGAAACCCCAAGCCCUUAAGCUUCCCUAAGGCCUCGUCUAUAAUUGCACAGUAUUUAAAUGCGCCGUCUAUCAGAAAGAUGAACAUCCGCUGCUUAAUCGUAUACGUGAACUGGUUGUGGUAGGGUGGCACUUGCUGAAGGCACCCUACAGCAGCCUCUGAUGUUACCGGAUCCUCCUUCGAAUUCUGAUGCUCCGCAAGCACAACAUUGUCCCUCGACACCGAUGCAUAAUACACAAGAUUAGUCUUCAAACCCAUCUCUUCUGCUUUCCUCCUAUUCUUGUCCUAGUGUGAUACUUCUUUACACAAAGCCCCUGCAAACCUGAGCUACACUAUUCAUCGCCCGAAGGCGGCGACUCUACCGACAACCCCUUCUUUCCGCAGCUCAGUCAAAUCUUAUACCCCGACCACCGCAGUGAAAAAAAGGUCAAAAAAACCAUCCAAACCUUACCGUUCUCAGCAACGCCCAACUCCUUCGUCCAAGCCAAGCUCAACCCAACCCAUGCUACCCGCAACAAGACGAGCUCCUGUCACAGCAAGCUAACCUAGUAGACUCCACCCACAAACGAGCUCAUAUACAUUCAUCCACUCUGCCAUGCACCAGAUCACUUCCACGUUCUCCCACCCCAUCGCCAAAACCCAGCACCAAAGCCACAGCGCACAAACAAACGACCAACUCCCCGUGCCACGACACCGAGCAAGCAAACAAUGCUCCCAGGGCAUCCAGGGUACGGCCGCUUCGCACGUUAAAUCUCUACUCUGACACUAAAUCUGGCUGCAAACAAACAAGAUAAUGCCGCGGAUGAUGUCGCUACCACACGACGCUGAGUUUCGCACACACACAAGGUCAGAGCGCGGCGGCGUUCUACGCGAUGUCGUUCAGAAGGGGAAACAGCCCCGCAACUUAGCAUUCAACUUGGCUAUUACGACGGCAACGCGGACUUCCGGUGCAUGGAACUUUCACUUCUCUUUUGCAUUUCCCCUCCGCCUUCCUCAUUUCUAGCGAUCACAAUUUUCCAUUGAAAGCUUCUGUUGCGGAGCUUCUGUCAGUGCUGCGGGAUUCCGGAGCUUGGCAAUCUUCAAGCCCAAAAAAAGUUGAUGAACGAACGAGCGAUAACGAACGAUAGAUGAACGAUCGCCGACGAAGUACCGACGAGUUUAAAGCGAAUUGACGAACGAAUGAAUGUGGAACGGACGAAGAGAAUUGGCAGCUGCCGGUUCGACGAGGGUCAUCCGGUAGCCACCAUUAUUGUAAACGCGUGGAUACGUGUCGUUGACAGAUGGGGCUGUAGGUAAAUACGGUAAAUAUUAAGUGAUUAAUUUAGUCUUUAAAUAGUUAAAAUGAAUAGUUGAACGCUUGUUUUAGGGUACAGUAUGGAAUGAUUAGUAGGCAAUGGUUGGUAUGGUGGUUUUACUUUUAUUUUAUUGUAGAUGAAGUUGCUCACAGUAUUGAAUGUUAGGUAGUAUACAAUGCAUGGUAUUCGAUUGUUGGGUAGUCAUGGUUGGAUUUUUAAGUUGAUAAGGAAGGUUAUUUUUUAUGUGUGUUUGGAUUAUGUUGUCUAAGUUUGGAGUCAAAAUGUCGUGAAACAAGAGCUUGAUAUUUGAAUUAGGAAACUAGAAGACUAUAUAUAUAACUAGCCCUUUUCAAUAACAUGAGAAAUAUUUAUCAAUCUAUCUAUUAUACUAAACUCAACUUGUGUUUAUAAUGUAUAAAAAUUGUAUUAUCUAUUUUAUUUCUAAAAAACCCCAUCAAAGGAGUAUCUUUACCAAGGUUGUUACAGGAUGUCCUAUUUCUUCCAUAGAUUCAACACUAAAUCUUCAAACCCAGUUUUAUCAAAAUAUGGUGUGUAUAUAUUUAUAUAUACGUAUGCUAAAACCUUUCAAAUCAUUCACUUUCAUGAUAUUUACACACACAACAAAACAAAACACAAAAGUACACACCAAAACCUUCUCUGGAAAGUUCUAACACGAUUAAUGCUACAAAGUUUGUUUCCCAUUGCACAAGAUUCAUUACAAUGAAAUAAGGUUGAAAGUUUACCAUGGUUUGUAGUCAAAGUUUGUGAGACUUCCGUUGACACAUCAUUUUUUCAAGUAAAUUGCAAAUGAUGGAAUAUCUAAUCAAAUACAUGUGUAUACAAUGCUGGUGAAGCUAAUUCUUGCACGUUCAUCUCCUAUUUCUGAACCAACAUUGUUCCACCCUACGCAGAUUAUGCAUCAAGGUUAACAAUGCCCAGCGCAUUGAGGCAAUCAUGUCACAUACAUGCCUGUUUGUUCAUGGAAGGUGUGCAAACUGCAAGCCAUUUAAAAUUGGAAUUAUUAAUUUCACAUCAGUACUCUGUACAGUAACAACCUUCAAAAUAAAUAAAUAAAUCAGUGGUGGAACGAAAACACAAGUAUUGAAUUAUACACAAUUUGCUAACCAACUAGCCAAAUAGAAUUAAUAAAACCCUCACCUAGUUACUCAUCCGUUCAAAAUUUGACUGAUUGAAGUACGGCUUAGAAAAGCCAAAUUGCCGCAACACUGUUCAAUGACUCGGGUGCGAAGGAACCUUGACUUCUUGUUUUGCUAUGUUUGUUUUUUGUUCAUUUAUUCCAGAUGGAAAGUGUCUUUUCUACCUGCUGCCAACCCAGAUUCAACUCAUCCACCAUACCGGCAAAACAUGAGAUCGACAAUCAAGUAUUAGAAUGCAUGUUUCUACCAUCCCAUCGUGCCAGAGUCGGUUGAAGAGUGAAGCAGCUAUCCUCCAACGCUUCCAGCUCUCCAAAGAACUUCUGUCAUAUUCUCCUUAUGAACGAUGAGUGGCAAACCCUCACCUCUUUUAAAGUUGCUCGUUGGAAGUAGUCUAACAAAAACAAAUUCUACCCCUUUUUAAAAGAAUUACAGAUGCGACCAUUUGUAUUACGAAACAUCAAGGCUCUGACGUUUCGUUUCGGUCGUUAAAAUUAAAACUGCUUUGGAAUGUCUUCUAGUCUGAACUCGAUGACCAGACUUCCAACUAUCAACUCUCCCCAGUAUCGCCACUUCCACUUGAUAACCAAGCACUCCUCAGCUGCUCUGCAAGUUCUACAAUUUUGGCUGCCAUCCAGCUCUGAGCAUGGUCCAUACUCGCGGCCUCUUGGAGAGCAAAAACAAGGUCCUUCUUUGAGUCUCCCGUUAGUCCUAGUGCAUUAGGACCAUUACUUAAGACCAAAUCAGCCACCUGUACGAUCCAUUAAUCAUAAUAUCAAUGCACAAAACCAUUGGGUCAGCACCAGGUUAUAAGAUACAAAAGCAAUGGACAUGAUUCGAAUAUCAUUGAAUAAAUCUUCACAUAACAUUCAAGCAUGAUGAGGCUCUUCUUGCAGUGCCCAAACUCGAAGCCGUCUAAACAUAACACGGCUACAACUGCAAUUGGGACGCACUCCUCCAGACAGAGUAGGAUGUAAUUACCUGCUGGAUCCAAGGAAUUACGCAUUCCAAGAAGCUCUGCUGUUGAAGAAAGUGUUUCAGGUUACCCAUAAGAUGUGUCAAGGUGGCAUCGCUCAAUUGUUCCAAGACAGGACCAGUGCGACUCAUCAAGCGUACCAACAAGAGCUCAUCAUUGCUCCCAAGAAUGUCUGCGUAAGCCAAAUCGAAAUCACUUGCUCGGACACUCUCCAUAGCUUGGCUCCAUAACAUCGAAAAUGGUCCGCCCACCACUCUAUUUGACUUCUGAUCGGCGAAAUCUCGUCUGGAUUGCUGCCGAUGAGAAUCACGAGGCUUACUUGGUAUAGCAGCACCACGAAUGGCCGCUAUUGCUUCAUCUUUUGAUGCCUGCCAAACGCUUCGGGCAGAUGGACCUUCUCCUUGUGGAAGAACAGUUGGACUUGAAUCACAUACUCUCCUGGUUCCAAUCACAUCUUGGUCAAUCUCUCGAUCCGCUCUAUUGCCUUUCUGCGAUGGUCUCGCCACCAGCACCUGAGCCUGCCUAAGAGCUUCUGUCGAUGACAUCUGCUGACCAGAACCGAAGGCAAAUUCAUCCGAUUCUCCAGAUGUUGACUCUGUCAACUUCUCCAAGGAAUCCUGACUCCUCGCACUUAAAGGUGCUGAAGAAUCCUCAGUCGCUUUACCAGACUUGAAGUUGAGAAAUCCAUUCCCAGAAAGGUAUUUGCCUAGUGGAUGACCACCUUGAAAAGUGGGUGACUCACCGACCGGAGACCUCCCUUCUGUAUUGCCAGAACUGAGAGCCAAAUCCUCCACAAUUUGUUCCAGCCUAGAGACUCGUCCUUCUAAAUCUUGCAUGCUCUCAUGCACACGUACCAUGGAAUCCUAUCACCCAGAUUUCAAAACGGAAGAACAAAGCUGUUACUUUGAGAAUCACAUAGCAAACGAUGAUUACGGCUAACUUGCUCCUGCUGCACCCAAUAACGUGUCUAGCAAUCCGUACAAGCCAAUCAUACGACUCCAAUGACGUGAGAGACAAAUAUAAUGAUAAGCUUAAUCAUGAGUUGACCAUUUAACCAUUAUAAAAUACGGGAGCUUAGAAAUCAACCUGCAGCAUCUCCAUCAUGGAAAGCUGUUGGCGUUCCAAGCUAGUCAAGUGACGGUGGAAAGAUCCUAUAUCUGCAGCUCCUUUGUCCAUGCAAGUCACCCUAGAGUCAUUGCCAUCCCAAGAAGAAUUAUAGCUAUGCCUUUGAUGCUCAAUAGAUUGAGGAUCUCCCCAUCUCUCGGACUUUUCCAACGUUUUCUUGAGCAUUGCAGUCUGCGGAUCUUCAUAACCAUCGGCUGCAAUUCAGUAAAAGAAAAUCCACUGAGACACCCAUUACGAAGAACCAUGUUUUUAAGGGAAUUUAACUUCAAAGAGCAAUAAUAUCAAACAACAGAUUUGACGAAGCUGUAUUUAAUAUUGGUGUUAAACUAUCUACAAACACAAAUCCUAUAGAGGUGGAUGCAGAUAAACCAAAGCUGAAGCAAAGGUUCUUACUUGAAAUCGUCCCAUUCUCCACUGGAUGAUUACUUGAUCCACCUUCUUCCUGGUCAUACUGAAGAUCCGUACCAUUACUCUCAUCAGGGGUCAAUACUCCACCUGAAGCAUAUGCACUGCCUGAAGAGGCAGAUCCUUGCAUCAUAUCUGUGCAGUUUCCACGAUAGACCAGAUGCUCACCACUGGCAGCCCCAGAUCUUGGACUCUCUUCCUGCGGUAGGUCGCGCGGAACUGCAACUUCUAUUUGCCAACCUGUUGAAUCCCUCACGCCUUCUAGCUUUCGGAAAAAAUCAGGAUUAGGUUUUUUGUCGCUUAGGCCCGGAGCUCUUUUUUUCAACAAACUUGCACGUCUAUCAGGCAUAGACUUGGGUCUCCCACUUGAAUCAGAAAGUGAAGAGGUUACGGAACCUCCGGACUUCCCCAACGAACGGUUUUUACGAUCUGGAAUAGUAGGGGUUGAGUCUCCAUCGAAGCGAUACCUUGGAGAAGCUGAAUCUCUAGGUGAAGCACUUCCUCUAGGUGAAGCACUUCCUUUGGGUGAAACACCUGCAGAAUGGCACCAAAUUAAGAGGUCAAUAGAGUUAUCGGUUCGUGACAAUAUCAGAUACCCCUCCAUUGAUUGUGGCCUACACUAGCAGCCCUUACACAAAUCCCACAUUGUCCAUGCCUUUAAUGCGCGUAACCGCUUAUGAAGACUCUAAACUCAUGUAGCAACAACAAUGUACUUAACCAACACCUGAAAAAAAUAAAAAGAAGGAGAAAUUGGAACUAACACAGUGGAGCAUUCGGAUCGUAGAUAGCCUUCCAAAGCUGCAAUGCUUCAGUAACACUGUCUCGAACAGGCUUCACCUGAAACGCACCAACAGUAAGACACAACUAUUACCAUCCACUUCGACAGCAGCUAGGACCGUGAGAUGAGCACAGCCGACUACACGAAUUUCCAUCAUUUCAUCAACUUCAUCCGAAAAUUAGAAACAUCUAGAAAAUAAUCUACAAGCUUGCUAAAGGUUAGAAAACGACAACCACUUACUAUGCUUAAAUUGAAAAGAAAGAGCACCAAUUCAAGCCCUAAACAGUUCCUAACGAGAAAAGCAUUCAGAGACAGCAGAAUAGCGUAGGACAUACUAUGCCUGAGAGAAAAUACAGCACAACUGCGAGGAAAAUUCACUCGAUUCUUAAAAUUAGGGAGAGAGGAGAGGAAAGUAUUCACCUUAUCGAAUCGACUGCUCUCCAAAGCAGCGAUAACACCUGCCCUAUAGGAUACUAGGCUGUUGCCAACUGCAGAGGCCAUGCAAGAUAAGGCCUCAGCUGCAGCUUUCCGAACUGCCCAUUCACUGUUACCCAGCUCGUCUUGAACAGCACCAAGCAGAACGGGUAAUUGAGACGCAGACACCACUCCAGGAACCUGCAUCGCUGGCUUGUCAAGAGCUAGAAGAAAAGAUAAAAACGGCACUAAUUUCUCCUCUUCUUUUCUUUUCUGUUAUUUAAUUCAAUGUCGCAAUGUACUAAGAAUCGGACAACAGGAUGACGAGGUCAACAGAGAAGUGCAUUUAAAUUUAAUGGGCACAAGAUCAACAACAUCGAAAGUCUUUACAUUCAGGCACCACGGUAUCAAGCUAAAAUCGUAUUCGGAAAAACGGUGGCAUACAAGAUAAGAGAAGAAAACUCUGCUCGAAACAAUGAGCAACCCCAUGCUAGAUCACGUAAACUCUUCACAAAAUUAGAAUAAGAACGAUUGAGCCUACACCCACCAAUUCGGGACUUCAAACAUGCAACCACACUAUCCAUACAAUAACGAGGUUAAGGUAAUUUCUCAUCUACAGCAAUCCAAAAUUUGUUAUGAGCCAAUACAAAAUAUCAGAUAGUCAGGGAACACGACCACAAUCUCCAGACAAACCGUACGGGAAUAGCAUCAUUCUAGUCUAAGGCGAGCUAUGCAAUGUAGGUUAAUGAAGGGAUAGCAGCUUAAAAAUGGAGGAUGAAUUGUAAAGCAAGCUACCUGGACCAUGACUCCAACAGCACUCAGGAGAGACGCCUUGGCCAGAAAAUUAGGGCUGGCCAGCAUUUUCAGUAUUCGUGGACAAAGGCGCUGCAGAGUAGGAGGGUGUGGCUCCUUGACACAUUCAAGGACGCGCGCUAGACACAUAGCAGCUCCAGUUUGCAAGGUCUUGUGUUGCUCUGCCAAGGCUUCAAACAGAGGUUUGACGAACACCGUGGUGACAGCACCAGAAUCGGCUCCGCCGAUACUAGAAGCCAAAACACCCAUGCUUUCAACGCAGGCGUCGCGAAUAUUGGAAUCUGGAUCUUUCAAUCUCUUCACAAUGUUUGCCACCAUCUUCGGCAGGUGGGAGGCCAGCAAAUCCCCAUGAAUGGAGGCCAGCGUCCCCACGAGCCUAAUACACUCCCGCCGCACAACGCUCUUCUGCUGCGAGUCUGUAUCGUAUAAGCACGUCAGAAAGAGAGCUAUACCCUCGGGUGACAGACUCUGCGCAAUACGCUCCAGCUCCUCCACCGCCAACUGCUGCGUAUCUCGGUCCGAGAGCUUAUUCAGCACCGCCAGAAUCCGAUUCUUCAGCUCUAUCAACGCCGACGCCUUACCUGCGGCACCUCCACUCCUUCUCCCCGCUCUCUGCGGGCCCCCUGCCAUCGCCAUCCCUCACCCCCACAGAAAUUCCUCUCCUCCUCCUCGUUCACUAUCCAAUCAACCCAACUAAUCCAACCCAACACGUCCAGCUCCUACUCCAUCGCCCCGACACCUUCUUCACACGAAUCACACUCUACUGUAUCCCUCCCCCAGCCACAUACUAAGGAGACUCGUAAGCCCCGCAACACCAUCCCCAAUACGCCACCCCGCCCCACCUCCAGCUACUUAUUCUCACCUCCCAUUCCCCCUAAAACAAAAAGCCAACGACCAACAACGCAAUCACAUGAAUGCUGGCCCCACGGCCAUCACGGAGAGCAUAAAAGUUGACAAUAAACAACUGUACUCACAGGUUUGAAACCCGGAGUUGGGGGACAGAGACGGAGACGAGGCAGAGAACGAGAGCGCGAGGGAUAUGGCGUGGUGCCGCUGUUGCAAAGAGGCACACUCCACUCAGCUGACGACGACGACACUGGCUGCUGAUGCUGCUGCUUCUGCUUCUGCCCCCCCAGUGCCAUUUGCACAUGAUUGCCAUGUGGCAGCUGCGCAAUUCAAACCCUGAGAAAAUCGGCUCCUUGCUGCUUCUAUUAAUACCCCUUGUCCUGUGAGAACGAUCGCGCCAUAUAUUUUUGGCGUACACGAUGGGCUUUCAAUUCUUGUGCGUGAGUACCCCCCCCCCCCCCCCCCACAAACAUCGACGGCGCCACCACCACCAGGAAAAUUAACAACCAACUCUUUCCCUCACUGCUUCAUCUCUAUCUGUUUGUUUGUUUGUUUGAUUGACUGAUUGAUUGAUUGAAUGAUUGAUUGUUUCUUUGCCUUGUUUGUGCGCGAGUCUAAGUGCAUGUGUAUCUAAGAGUGUGUGUUUUAUUUUAUUUUGUUUUUUAUUUUCUUCCACUUCCAGAUCCCUCUUCGAUCCUUUUACUACGCUUCCUUGCUUGCUUGCUUGCGUGCUCGCUUGCUUUCAUCCGCCAAGUGCUGGAUCCUAGAUAGAUAGUUCGGCGGCGCUUGCCCACCCACCUCCAUGUCCGCCCCCUUACGCUUAUAAUCCAUUCAUCCCUGUGCUUGAUCCAUUCUUCCGGUGGCUUUGAAGCUCCGUGCCCCAUUAUUCCUCCAUGCAACCACUCUGCUCUUUUUCCAUUUAAUAUGAAUAUAUAUAUACAGGAAUGUGUAUAUUUAGCAUAAAACAAUUGAUGGGGUUCACUUGUUGUCAUGACUUCUCUUCUUCCUCCUGUUGUUGUUGUUUUCCUUUGUUACAUUUUUCCCACAUUUUUUUGCUGUUACUCUGUGUGGUUGUGUGUCUCUGAUGCAAUGUAAUGUGUUGAUUUGCCAGCUUUUGUUUUGUGUUUCUGUGGAGUUUGAAUCAUUGCAAGUGAGAGUUUGUGAAAUUUUGAGUGGGACAGGUUAUGUGGCUAACAUGUAAACCAGUAUUAUGUUGCAUAGUUUGGUAUGUGUAAAAAAGCUUGUUGACAAUUUAUUUUAAGAUAUGUGUCUAGGACUAAAAUCUUCGUGAUGCAACUUUACAUGAUAGUUCAUAUGUAAGUGAUAUAAAUAAACUACAUAAUUUUCAUUCAUAACUUGCAUGGUUUGAGUACUAACAUCAUUCUUAUUUUUAUUUAUCUUAUUGCUUGCAAAUUCAAAACUGUAAUUCUACAUAUUUACAGAAUUUAUGUCUGGCCAUAUAAAGUCAUUUUGAAGAAAACAAUAAAAAAAAAAAAAAAAAAAAAAAAAAUCAUAGAUGUCUUUUUAUCAUUUUUUUUUUUUUGUUAUUUAGAAAAAAUUCCAACAAGAUAUAGUUAUAUAGAUAAUAUAUAUAUUAUUGGCAAACAUGGAAAAAAAUGUCAUUUCCAGUAGUUUUAUAUCAUCGAUCAUGUUUGGGAUACUGAACAAAAUAUGAUAUAUAAGAAAUACAUAAUACAUUUAUAAAUCCCGGUAAAAUUAAGAACCUUAGAUUAUAUCAUUAUACUAUAUUUUAAAAAAUACAUGUUGAACAACAUUCGUUUCAUAGUUCAAGAGAAUCUCUUUUUUGCAUUUACGUAAAAACAAUUUAACCUGUACAUAUAAAAAAAAUUCUGAACAAAAGUAAAAAUAUUUUUAACAUGGUGUUAUGUUUUGAUUAUACUAUAUGUACAUUGCUAUUGAUUUUAAAUAGUUAAAAUCAAUAAUUGUAUAUUUAUUUAUCAUUGUAUAAGUUUUGGAAAUCAAUAUCACACAACAUAUGUAUACAGACACACAUACAUAAAUGCAUUUAAAUAUUUAAUAAAACAAUGAAAUAUAAUAUUGAUAUUAUAUUUCAUUGUUAUUAAAAUAUUGUACAAUUUUUCUUUAAUCUGUAAAAAAUGAACAAAGAAUAUUUGAUCUUUGACACUUCAGGCUAAUCCUAAUAAUUUUGUCUCUGUUAUUUUUUAUUUCAUCUUUAUCAUAUAUACAUGUAAAUAAUUAUGAUACUUUUAUUAUUAUUAUUAUGUUUUAAUCUGUUUUCUAUUAUUUGAAAACAUGAAUCAACGUUUCAAUUCUUCAUGAAAUUUUUAAAAUAUACAUACGCAGAGGUGUUGAUUGUUUUUGUUUGACAUAUUGAAGAUAAUAUCUUUUAUAGAUUAUAAGUGUGUGUGUUGACAUGCAAACAUUUUAGAUGUAAUAUAGACAAGCAUAUAAUUCUAUUUACAAAAAAGUAAAAUAAAUUUGAAAGUUUUGAUAUAAUAUUGGCAUAUAUCAAUCAAACCAAGUAUAUAUUUUUAUGUUGGCAAUGAUGAUUUCUGGAGGAUUAUAUGACUAUUAAAAUGUAUAUCACGUAAAAAUAUUAUCUAAAUCAAAGGAUAAAUAAAUAAAUAAUAAAAUACAUAUAUGUGGAUAUACCAUAAAUAAAUGAAAUACAUAUACAUACAAUGAGGAAUAAACUGGUAACUGAUUGCCAAUAUUUAUUUAUAUAUAGCUUAAUAGCUUUGAACCUAAACACAAUGAGUUUCGAAGCUCUCAAAAAAUGAAAUCAGAUGAAUAAUAACUGUAAAUGAACAUUCAAAUUGAAUUAAUUUUUGUGAAAUCAAUCUCUGAAAAAUUAGAAUUUUUCACGAACUGUUUCCAACCUUACAUGGUCUACUCAUGCAGGCAAUAACUGGUAUUUGUUUUUAUUAAUGAAAUCGAUCUUUUUUUGUUGAUGAAUUAAAUUGCAGAAUAGUAUCUGCAAUCAGUAUUUAUUAGCAUACAUUUGUUCCAUAAGAAAACUCAUAUUUUAAUGUUGAUUGUGUAAAACUAAAGAAGAUCACAAAGUCUCUACUUUUUUAUAUAUAUAAUAAUUACGAAUUUCAACAUGUAUAUAUAUAUAUAUAUUGAAUCAUUAGACUUGUGAUUUGAUUUUAUUUACUGAUUAUUAUAAUUACUUCAUAUUAAACUUCAAAUUUCGAUAUAGUCAUAGAGAAAUAAACAAUUGCAGAAUUAACAUUUUAAUUCUAUUAUAAAGAAAAAUAUAUUUUAGUGCAUUUUUAUUUAUUUUACUCAUGGUUUUAAUUUGAAAUAACUCUCUCUCUCUCUCUCUCUCUAUAUAUAUAUAUAUAUAUAUAUAUGUAUACAUGUUCAUGACAAAAAAGAAUUAUUCACAAUGUUUGAAUUUGAUUGGAGGCAGAGUCAUGGUUGUUCUUGUAAGCCUCAGAGCAUCGGAAAUGUUUUAUACUGUACAUGUCGCCAAUUAAAAUUGUGUCUUAAUUAAUUUUUUAUGUAUUAUUUUUAGUAUACAUUUAGGUAAGAAAAAAAAUAAAUGGAAAAAGAAAAAAAAAGUGUAAUAAAAAAAAUUCAGACACAUAAUUAAUUAUUUUUCAAAAUUACAUGUUUUUUUGCACACGUGAAUUUGUGUUUAAAAGAUUAAGCUUCAAAAAAUAUGAGGUUUUCGGGCAAUAAUACAAUCACCUCGUUCAUUUUAGGUUUGGGUUUACUUAAAAAUUGUACAUUGUGUCCAUAUCUUAGAAAUACACACUUUUAUCUUAUAGUCAUAACAACUGCAACAGUUAGUUUAUAUAUAAAAUAAAUAAACUAUUUAUUUGCAGAGAUAUGCAUAUUGAGGAAAACAUGUCACAAUUCAAUUUCAAUCAAAAGAAUUAUGGGUCAAGUGAAUGGUGUUCAAAAUGAAUAAACACUGCUAUCACUCAUUCACUUAUCACAUUAAAAAUAUAGAAUUCUAUAUAAUGUUUAAUUUACCCCAUUAUGAUAUUUUUCAUAAAAAACCUCAACUUCAUAUCAUCACAACACUUCUGUGAUAUUAAUACACAAACUACAUGAACCUGUGUUGUUGUCAUACAAAGUGUGAUUCAAAUGAUGCUAUUUUUGAAAGAUGUAUUUUUGAAAGAUAUGUUUGUGAGCUAAAGAAUAUUUUUCAAAUAAAAAUACAAUAGAAUACAAAUAGAAAAAAAUAAAAUAUACAAUGGAGCUUUCAAGUAUGAAGUAGGAUAAGCAAAUCUAUGCUGUUAUCACAAAUAAUAUACAAAAAAAGUAGUUAAUUUUGUUCAAGGGAUUACUUGUGAAAAUAUUAAAAAAAAAUAAAUUACAUUAAAAAAUUAUAAAAGUAUAUUAAGACAUUGAAAAAUGUGCUAAAAUUAAUUAAUUAAUUAAUUAAAAUAUAAAUUUAUUAAUAUUUAUCUAAUUAAAACUUAUAAAUAUGUUUACAAAUUUGAAGGUUUCUUGAAUUCUGUGGUGUAUGUAUAAGUGAAUUUUGGGCAAUGUGUUGGUGUGUAAGUUGUAAAUGUGUGUACAAAUUUGCGGUCAUUUGAAUAGUUAGAUCAAAGUAUAUGAUGGUCUUUGUGGGUUGAGAUCUCAAAAAUUGGAAUUUGAGGAUUAGUGAUUAUUUCUAAGAUCUUCAGCAAUUUAUCAAUUGGAUUGAAGUAAAUUUUCUUUUGUAUGGAUAAUAAACUUGAUUUCCAACACUUAGGUGAAAUUUGGAAGUAAUUUAAUAGUUCAAGAAGGAGAUAUUGGCGUUGAAAGUUCAGCAUUUAGGUUGGAGUAGGAGGUUGCCCAAUACCUGAUUGGAUUAUCUUGUAUUUCUUUUAAUUGGUAAGUGCAAUUGAUUUCAUUUUCUUAUGCUUGUUUCUAACUAAGACAUUAAAAAGUGUAUAAAUUUUAAAUUGAUAUUAAUGGUUUGAUUAUUAAUUGUUGAGGUUGAUUUUGAUAUAGGAUUUGUUAAGAGUUUGUUUAAGGUCUAGAAUUUGAUUAGGAUUAGGAUUUGCUUAGAGUUUGGUUUAAAACUUAUUAGAAGAUUUUAGUAAGUUUAAUAUGCCACAAACUUUCUACAUUCCUUUUAAUCCAAAGUCUCAUCUUUUCUUUCUUUUUUAUAUUCCUUAAUUGAUACAUCAUCUAGAAAAGGUAUAAUUAUACUUGAAAUAAAUUUUCUUAAUACUUUAUGCAUUCUAUUUAUCAUAUGGGUUCUAGAAUUUGUAGCCCUUUGAAGUAAGAUACACAUUCUGACCAAUCCUAAAAAAUCAAUUAGAGAUAAAAAGACAUUAUAAAAAAUCAACUAAAGAUAAAAAGACAUUAUAAUAAUACAAUCUAGCAUGGAAGAUAUAAUGGAGCAAUUUCAAAUGAAACUCAAAUACAACACCUCUUAGGCCAAAUAGCUACUUUGUAAAAGCAAAUAGAAGCCUCUAUAACUAGAGAGUCAAUAUCUGCUAGGCUGAAAUUGAGUAAGCCUAGUAUAUAUUCUAGGACUUCAAGACAAGAAAAUAUAUGUCAAUGGCUCUUCAACAUACAACAAUACUUCCACCUAUCUAUGACAAAUACCAUUAAAUGAAUUAUGUAUGUAGCCAACUAUUUGAGAGAUGUGGUAGUUAUUUGGUGACAAUAUUGAAUUCAAAGCUAUAGAGCUCAAGGUAGAUUUUUGUCAAGGACAAGAACUCGAUGAAAAAUAAUUCAGAAAAGUGAGUCUUCACUCAAAGAGAGGUAAAUAAAUAAAUAUAUAUAUUGAAAGAGAAACUGGAAUGGAUAUUGCGAAAAGACAAGAAAACUAGAGACCCUUGAAACUAGACUAGAAGCAAGAAAGGAGUUGACAAGAGUGAAGAGAGCUUUACUCUUGCCUCUAUAUAUACUAUCUAACUAAAAGCCACGUGGCGAUAUUCUAUAAGACCUCUAAUAUGUGUUGACUUUCUAGGCCACAUGUCUUUGCUUGUAAGGCAAGUUUUCUAUGAGUGGACUAUGUAGUUAGCUUGUCCUUCAAGCUACCAACAUGUGUGGCACAUGGCUAACUUGUUGACCAAGUUUCUAACCUAAAAGUCAACUAUGGACUCCUAUAAGGUCAAAGCAGCGUCUAUAAAGCUUGUAGGAAGCUUUUCUAGAAGAUAUUAUACAAUUAACCUACUUUUAUCUACUUUUACAUACUUUUAUCGACUCUUGUAGGUAAUUAUAUGUAUAUCCAUGACAUUACCCCCCCUUCUAGGGACGAGUUCCAUGAGAAGCGGUGAUUAUAUGUUGAAAAAGUCUAAUAUGCGGCGAAUUGUAUUUGCUACAUACUCUGAUCUCUGUUCUCUUCGAAGGUAGUUGAUGGGUCCUCUUAGCCAUCGAUAGUGUCCCAUUCCAGGGCGAAAAGACCACCCUGUUAUUUGAUCAUUAUUGAGGCCUUCAUAACUUCUUUCAAAUAAUACAUUUAAAACACCAUCAGCAGUCGUUCCUAUCUCCAGUAAUAUCACCAAACAUCGAGAAUCUCCUCCAAGGUCGUGAUACCAAACGCGUUGUAUCUCACCAUCUAUUCGAGGAAGAACAUGUCGUUCUUGAGGGUCUUCAUCUCGGUUGCGUCGUCUUGAAGGUUGUGACAAUCGCAAUGUCUCAUCCGGUAAGUCAGCAAAUGAAGGUUCUUGAGUUGAAUCCGCUGGUUGUUGGCUCUCCAUCUAAUUAGCGUCACAAAUGCAAAGAAAUUACAAACAAGGAUAGGAAAUUGAAUGUUAUCUUGCCUCAAUCUUGUCUCUUUUAUAAGAGAGAUUUUCAUCUUGAUUUUGAUGGAUGUCGUUGAUGAAAAACUUUGACUUUAGCUGAUGCAUUUGCUAGAUUCUUGGAUGGCUCCCAUGUGCAUUCACUAAUAUCAUAUCCGCGCCAAUGAACAAGUUAUUCCAGCUUAUUUUGGCCCCGCCUCGAGUCUAAUAUCUCUUCCACCUCAAAUUCUUCAUUAUUAUCUACUUCAAUAGGAGGCGGUGGCAUUUGUCUUCUUCCUUGUAUAUCCACUGUCUUAUAUGGUUCAAGAAGAGACACGUGGAAUACAGGAUGGAUCUUCAUUGACUCCGGUAGAUGUAACCGACAUGCAACUGGGUUGAUCUGUUCAGAAACAGAAAAGGGGCCAAGCCUACGAUAGUCCAACUUGUCACAAGGUCGAGUAGUCUUGAUAUUGCGACGAAGUAGCCAUACCUUAUCACCCACGUUGAGUUGUGGUUGCUCCUUACGAUAUAGAUCUGCGUUUAUCUUUUUUCGUUCUUGAGCUUCCUUCAAUUGCGUCUUCAUUAUUGCAUGUAACUCUGACAACCGAUUUGUCAUAUCUUUUGCUGCAGGAUUAUCAACUUUUGAAAAAUCAAAAGUAUCAAGUCGUGGAUGAUAGCCAUAAUUGGCAAAGAAAGGUGUUUGUUGCAUGGAAGAAUGUACCGUAUUAUUAUAAGCAAACUCUGCUAAUGGCAGAAGGGUUGUCCAAUUAUCUUGUUGGUAAUUGAUAGUACACCUUAAAUAUUGCUCCAAGACUUGGUUUACGUGCUCUGUUUGUCCAUCAGUUUGAGGAUGGAAAGCCGAAGAUAGCUUUAUGUCCACUUUUAAAAUCUUGAAAAGGGUCCUCCAGAAUCUUGACACAAAUUGAGUUCUCCUAUCCGAUAUGAUAUCUUUAGAUAAUCCAUGAUAGCGAUAGAUAUUAUCAAUGAAAAGCUUAGCUGUUUCUUCACCUGUGAUAGAUUUUGUAUAUGGCACAAAAUGUGCCAUCUUGGUGAAACGAUCUACUAUCACAAAUACAGAAUCAUAAGAUCUUGAGCUUGGAAGAUCUGUGAUGAAAUCCAUAGAAACAGAAGACCAUGAUUGUUCUGGUAUAGGUAAUGGCUGAAGAAGUCCAUAAGGUCGAUGAUGAGGAAUUUUUGAUCUUGAACAAAUAUCACAUGAUUGUACAAAGUCUUUGACUGACUUCCACAUUUGUGGCCACCAAAAAUCUCUUGAUAUGAGUUCCAAAGUCUUAUUAUAUCCAAAGUGCCCUGCUGCUGGAAAGUCAUGACGUGCUUGAAGAACACAUAAACAUGCUUCUCCUUCUAGAACAUAUAGGCGUCCUUCAAAAUAUAAUAGAUUAUUCUUGAACUCGAACUUAGAAGGAUCAUGAGACUUGGAAGAAUUAUUCUCGAUAUCAUGAACAAGAGGGUCUGAGGACAUACUGGACUGGAUUUGCUUGAGAAAAGUUGAAUCAACAGUCAAUGUUGAUUUCAUUACUCGGAGAUGAAAUUGCUCCGGUUUCAAGAGGACCAUUCUUUGUUGCUCAAAAGCUGCAUCUCCUUCUUUUGGUGCAAAAUAAGAACGUCUAGAUAGGGCAUCGGAUAAACCUUGUUGUUUUCCUGGCCGAUAAGUGAUAAUGAACUCGAAUCUUGACAAAGACAUACUCCAACGAGCUUGACAACGAUUCAACACGCGUGCUGACAUGAAAUACUCAAGGUUCUUGUGAUCUGUAUACAUAGUGACUGGACUAGAAGCGCCUUCUAAAUAAUGACGCCAUUCUUGAAAAGAAUCCACAAUCGCAAGAAGUUCUUUAUCGUGGAUCUCAUAAUUGAUCUCGGCUGCUGAGAAUUUUCUUGAAUGAAAAGCUAUCGGAUGAAGUUUGUCAUCUGUUCCCAUUUGUGAUGAAACUGCACCCAAGGCAAAAUUUGAUGCAUCUGUUUCCAUAAAAAAUGCCUUGAAAAAGUCAACACGAUAUAAGACUGGUGCAGAGACAAACGAUGUCUUCAAGGCUUCAAAUGCUGCUUUCGCUUUUUGAUUCCAUUGGAAUUUAUUUCUACUAGUCAAGCGUGUAAGUGGAGCUGCAACUCGUGAGAAAUCUUUGAUGAAGUUCCGAUAGUAAUUGGCAAAUCCCAAGAAACAUUGGACAUCUCUUAUUGUCCUUGGAAUCUUCCAAUCCAUGAUUGUUUGGACUUUCUUAGAAUCCAUCAUGAGACCAUCAUUUGAAAUGAUGUAUCCUAAAAAGUCAACUUGAGUAGUGUGAAAUACAUACUUUUCCAUCUUGGCGUACAAUCCUGCAUCUCUAAGUUUUUGUAAUACUUGACGAACAUGUAUUUCAUGUUCUUUGACGUUCUUAGAAUAGAUCAGGAUAUCGUUUAGAUAGCAGACGAUAAAAUUGUCUAAGAAUUCACGAAAUACAUCAUUCAUGAGAUGUUGAAAAGCAGUUGGUGCAUUCGUGAGUCCAAAGGGCAUGACAUUAUAUUCGAAAUGUCCAUACCUGGUUCGAAACACAGUCUUCCAUUCAUCUCCUUCUUUGAUCCGUACUAGAUUAUAUGCUCCUCUUAGAUCUAUUUUUGUAUAGAUCUUAGCUUGAUUCAACUGAUCAAGGAGUCCUGAUAUCAAAGGUAAUGGAUAACUGUUCUUGAUUGUGAUCUUGUUGAGUCCUCGAUAAUCAACACACAUUCGUAAAGAUCUAUCUUUUUUCUUUACGAAUAGAAUUGGAGCUCCUGCUGGAGAUUUUGAAUGGCGUAUGAAAUUCUUCGCUAAAUUCUCGUCAAUGUAUGUCUUGAGUUCAGCCAUCUCAUCUUGCGAUAAACUGUAAAUUGGUCCAAAUGGUGGCUGAGUUCCUUCCUUGAGGUCGAUUGAACAAUCAUAUAGGCGAUGCUCAGGAAGAAUAUCUGCAUUCUUUUUCUCAAAAACGUCUUGAUACUCCUGAUAUUGACUUGGAAUGCCACUUGAAGUCUUUACGUUUUCAAAAAUAGGUGCAGCAUAAAUAGCAAAAGUUGAUCCUUCUUUUGCUGCGUGUAUAAAUGCUUUUGCACCUAUCAGUACUGGUUUUACUAUACUAGACUUAUAAUUUUUUACUUGGUUGGUAGAACUAUUAAUAAUGCUCUGGAAAAAGUCAAGUUUACACGAAUUCCAAUCUAUUCGAAGGUUAUAUUUUUCUAGCCAGGAUAAAUCUAAAAUAACUGGAUUGGACGGGGAUUUAAUUAUGUUAAAAGCUAUGUAGCUAUCAUGACCGUCUAUUGUUACUUUUAUAGGAUGAGUUUCAUGAGUGACAUCUCCAGAAGACAAGGGACGACCAUCUAUGACUUUUACAUGUACUGGUUUAGGUUUCUGUACAAAAGGUAUUUUACGACUUUUAACAAAUUGUUCAUCUAAAAAACAUGCUGAGGCUCCCGAAUCUAAUAAAGCAGAGGCUUUGUAAUUCUUAGGUCUUAAAUAUAAGUCUAGUAUAAAACAAGGAGAGGAUUUUGAGGAGAGGAUAGGACCUUCAUUAGGAAUUGUACAAGGUUCCAACUGCAUGGUCCCUAUUGUAGCUAGACGAAUCCGUUUUCUGACAUGUUGUCUUCUUUGACCGUCGUACCCCUCAUUUUAUAGUUGCGUCGUUUCUUUGGACAAUGUUGAGCAGUGUGCUUAGGUUCUCCACAAUAUAAACAUAAUCCUUCUUGACAACGACGAAUCUUUUCUUGCUCAGUUAGGGGUUUAAAACGUACCGCGUCAAUUUGCAUGUCUUCUACUUCCGAAUGUACGUUUGGCAAAGAUGUUGAUGUUGUCAUUGAGUAAUAACGUUGAGGUUCCCGUGAAUGAUUCUCGGAUCGAAACUCAAAAAGUUGAUUAUCACAUUUUACCACAAAAUCGAUUGCUUGACUCAAAGUUUGAGGAUCAGGUAAGUUGAGCAUCAAUUUCUUUACUUCGUAUUGCAAUCCAUAAAGAAAUUGACUGAUGAGUGCAGCAUCAUCCCACUUGAUGUCAAUUGCAAGUUAUCGAAAUUGUGAAGCAUACACUGUUACUGAGCGAUUUCCUUGUCACAGAAUUCAGAUCUUAUUUGUUGCAACACGAGUUGCAUCGUGUUCACCAUACAUAGAUCGAAACUCCGCCAAAAAAGCUUCCAAAUUGUCCAAUAUUGGAUUUCGUUGUUCAAGAAAAGACGAAAACCACAAUAAUGCAGAACCAGAAAGUAGAGUGCCAAUAAACAUGACUUGUGAUCCUGGAGUUGGAUAGCUUUGCGGUUGAAGUUCAAUUGCUAAUCGUACUUGAUUGAUGAACCCUCAAAACUUUGAUCUCGUACCAUCAAAUUUCUCGGGUAAGGCAAUUCUUGGUUCUGUAGUGCUUACAGGGUGUUGUACAAUUGGAGAAGGAACGUGAUUUGUUGCAGAUGUUGAAGCAGCUCCGAUCAUCUCUAUAUCCCCACUUUCUGCUAUUCUUGUUCUUUCCUGUGUUGGUGAAUUGAGUUGAUGCAUCGCAAGCAUUAACUCCCUCAUUUGCUCUUGCAUUUGUACCAUUGCACUCUUCAUUUCAACAAGCUCUGCCAUAAUGAUACUAAGAAAAAAAAAUUGUUUGAUACUGCUCAAGAUAAAAGAAAAGAAAGACUUGAUAACAAAGAAGAUAUUAAGAACAAUAUCAGUUUAGAAGUGGGUAAUCCGCAAACUUCUAAUACGCUUAUGUCUUGUCAAGAGAAAGGGAUAAUCCACUCUUACUCAAGAAAAACAAAGCUCUGAUAUUAUAAGUGUACUCUUGUCAAUCUGUCAAGGACAAUAACUCGAUGAAAAAUAAUUCAGACAAGUGAGCCUUCACUCAAAGAGAGGUAAAUAAAUAAAUAUAUAUAUUGAAAAAGAAACUGGAAUGGCUAUUGCCAAAAGACAAGAAAACUAGAGACCCUUGAAACUAGACUAGAAGCAAGAAAGGAGUUGACAAGAGUGAAGAGAGCUUCACUCUUGCGUCUAUAUAUACUAUCUAACUAGAAGCCACAUGGCGAUAUUCUAUAAGACCUCUAAUAUGUGUUGACUUUUUAGGCCACAUGUCUUUGCUUGCAAGGCAAGUUUUCUAUGAGUGGACUACGUAGUUAGCUUGUCCUUCAAGCUACCAACAUGUGUGGCACAUGGCUAACUUGUUGACCAAGUUUCUAACCUAAAAGUCAACUAUGGACUCCUAUAAGGUCAAAGCAGCGUCUAUAAAGCUUGUAGGAAGCUUUUCUAGAAGAUAUUACACAAUUAACCUACUUUUAUCUACUUUUACAUACUUUUAUUGACUCUUGUAGAUAAUUAUAUGUAUAUCCGUGACAAUUUUGUGAUUAAAAGGAGUUUGAGAUCGAGUUUACUAAUCAAUUUUGAUCCAUCAAUAUAGACAGGAUAGCAUACAAUCAAUUGACAAAUCUUACACAAUCUAGGUUGGUGCAAGAUUAUUCUUUUUGAUUCAAGUCCCUAUAUCUUCAAAUUCGUAAUAUUUUAGAGGCAAAGAUGAUGGAUUGAUUUCUACAAGGAUUGAAAUUUGAGGUCCAGCAAGAGGUGGAACCAAGGAAUCUAAAAAUGUUUGAAGAUGUAAUUAGAAUUGUAGAGAGGGUUGAUUCUAUAGAUUUCAAAAAUUGUGGAGCACGACCUAUAGUACAAAGUCCUAUUUUGCUAUUUAAUACUAUGGCACAACAACCAAUGUUAAUGGAGAUUGAUGCCGCAUAAGGAUUAUUGAUACCACAAAGAUAACAAAUAUUGGUGUAAAAGGAAUUAUACUUCUAUUGUUGAGAGCCAGGCCAUGAGAUUGAAGGUUGUCUAAAAUGUCAAAAUUCAAUUAACAACAAAAGAAGGCAAGUUUAUAGUCUCGAGACUCACCAAGUCGAUAAUAAGAUAAAGCAGAGAAAUGAAGCUUUCUAGUAAAGGCGUCGAGGGCCAAUACUAGAGAUAGCUAUUGUCUCUCACAAACAAAUGAUAUGGCCUUGGACAACUAUAAAAAGAGUCAAUUGAUACAUCUAACAGGACUACUAAGAGGACAACCAUGUCAAAUGCUCAUAGAUUAUGAGUCUAUGAAAAAAUUAUAACUUGAUUGAAAUUGCCAAUAAAUUUAGAAUUAAAACUAAAAUAAUCAAAAGAGAGAAUAUAUACCUUAUAAAUGAUCAAGAAAACAUAUUAGGUGAGACAUAUGAAGAAGAAACCUUGAAGUUGAUUGACAUCUACAUCCUAAGAGAUAGAUUUAAAGUAACAAAGCUAAGAUAUGAUAUUAUCUUUAAUAUGCCAUGGCUAGAGGUAAAAAAUAAGCAAGUUGAUAAGAUAGCAAGAAUAAUUUCUUUCAAAGAUGGUAGACGCAAGGUGAAUCUUCAUACCUCCACAUGAAGUGAAGAGAAAAGAUAAUUUACAAAUAAAGACUUACUUAUAGAGAUGAUUUUUAUGAAGAAGAAAAUAUAGCAUAAGCAAUUGGUGUAUAUGGUGGUUCCAAAUCUUGCAUUAGUGGUAGAAAAUACAAUCAAAGGAAUAGAAUGGAUAAAGCAACUUGUACAUAAAUAUUCAAUUGUCUUUCCAACUAACCUAUUAAGUAGCAUACUUUUUAAUCAAUAUGCCACUUUUCAAAUAAAACUAUUAGUUAGAACUAAACCAAUAAGUUGGUCAAUUUAUCGCAUAGCAUCAAAUAAACUUAAAGAGCAACAAAAGAUAUUAAACAAACUCUUAGAAAAGAGCCUUAUUUAAGAAAGCAUAUCACUAUGGAGAGCACUUGUAUUCUUUGCACCUAACAAGGAUGGUGGACUUUGACAUUGUAUCAACUAUCAAGGCCUCAAUAAGUAGACUAUUAAAAAUGCAUAUCCAUUUCUAUGCAUAGAUGAUCUUCUUGACCAAUUUUGAAGUGUAACCAUCUUUAAUAAAUAGGAUCUUUUGAAUGGCUAUUGGUAGACACCUAUUGUAAGAGAGGAUAUAAAAAAGACGACAUUUUGUACAUGCUAUAGACAUUUUGAAUGGCUUGUUUUACCUUUUGAUCUCACCAAUGCUUUAGUUGAUCACAUAAACAGAUUAUUUUGGAACCUAUUUGACAAGUAUGUACUUGUUUUGAUUGAUGAUAUCCUAGUAUAUAGUAAAAUUCUUGAAGAGCAUGAAUAAUACCUAUGGAAAAUAUUGCGCUAGCUAUAAGAUAGUCACUUCUAUUGCAAGCAAUCAAAAUAUGAACUUUGGAAGUCAAAAGUCACCUUUUUGGAACAUGUGGUGUCCUUUGAAGGUGUGCACAUGGAAUAAGAUAAUGUGAAAGCAAUAGAGGAUUGGCCAACUAUGAGCUCUCAAUUAUGCUCUAAAAUUUAAAUUUUUGUUAUUUUCCUAUUUUAUGAUAAUUAAACAUGUUAGAUUAGGAUUUAUAUAAGUAGAAUUUAGUUUUAUAGAAUUUUUAGGAUUACAACCCUUGAUGGUAUAAAUCAUAGUCUAAUUCCUUGAAUUAGGUUAAUUGGACUAAAGUGAUAAAAAUUAGAAAAUUAGAAUAACAACUUAGUUAGUUUAAUAAUUUAGAGGUUGUUAGUCAUUACUAUAAGAGUUGACUAAAAGCCUAUGAUUGCAUCUAUAAUCAUUCACAUGAUUUAGGAGUUGGAAUUAUAAUUCUCUAAAAGAUUUACAGAAGUUAGCAAUGGUAAUUUUGGAUUCUCCUCCAAAUUCGACAAAUUUAAGCAGAAUGGUGGUUCUUCUACUUAAUGGGAGUCUUUUUAAUGCAAUGGUGGCACCGGAUUUACCUUGUGGAGUAAAGAAAAUAAGAUCAGCAACCUCUCCUUCAAAAUACAAGAAAAGCAAUGAAAUUCUCAUUUUGAAGAAUUUCACAAAAAUUGCCAAGAUCCUUGUAUGUAAAAACUUCCAUGAAAAUUAUAAUUGAGCAUGGAUUGAGGCAUGUGAGUAGUCGAUCUUAGCUUAAAAAGAUGUUUUGAACACAAUAGUGAAGUUAGAUUUACAAAAAAAUGCUUUCUUGACUAUUUACAAGAGCCAUCAGCCUUGGUAAUGAGAUUAGCUCUUGGGUGAAUGAAGGCCAUAGAUCUAGAUUAGGGAUCUUAAAAAUCAAGGGUGGAGAUGUAGCCAUCCUUCUACGAGCCUCUACUCAAUAGUAUAAGAGAGGCUUGGUUUUCCAAGCCCUCUCUCUCUCCUAUUUUGGGUGAAGGAUGGAGCCAUGCCAAAAUUUGGUCGAAACCCUAAUCUUAAUUUUAUUUAGAUUUUAAUUCUCAUUUUGAAUCUUGUGAUUGUGUAUGUAUGGAUUUUGCAUUGUGAAGGAUGGUCAUUAAGUUUUAAAAUAUGUUUCAUUGAGGUAGAUAUCUCCUCGGCCUUCCAAAUAUCCCAAGGGUUUCAAGGGCAUCGGAUUUUCUUCAAUCAGUCAUUCAAUUUCUGUUGUCUCAAUAUGAGAUUUUGAAUAGUUGUAGCUUUUGUUUUUAGCUUUCCAACAAGAUAAGACUUGCUUGAUUUGGAGUAAGAAGGAAGUUUUGGUGAAUUUUUGAGUUUGAGGGAGUCGACUACCUUUGCAGUUUGAAUAAAUCGAGUUUGGAAAGGCAUUUCUCAGUGCUUGGUAAUUGGAUUUAUUUGAAAUUUUGGGAGUAUCAAGCUUUAUAAGCGAAGCUGUGGCACAAGUUUUGGUGAAUUUAAAGACAAUCUGAAUUUCUAGUGAAUUUCUAAGUGAAGAGGAUUAGUCACCAUGGUAAUUUGGAUCACUCAACUUCAAAGGAGAUAUUCUCACGAUUGGAUCAUUGGAUUAAAACGAAGAUUAUUGGAUCAAUAGCGUCUUUAAGUCAGCCUUGCAACAAGCUAAGAUUCAUUCAAAUUGAAGCCAAUUACAAAUUUUGGCAAAUUUUGGAGUAGAGGGGGGUUGCUACCUUCAAUCCUUAGGUGUUGUCAAGGUACCUUCUCUUUCACCUUUCUUACUUUAUUUUUACUAUCAUCUUCACAGUGAAUUGUAAGCUCCACAUUUCACUUUUUGGCUAAUAAAUUUUAAUUUUAACUUUUAACCUUUAAUAUUCUCACUUUAACUUUUAACUUUAACUUUUAAACUGAACUUUUAAUUUUAAUUUUUCACUUAACCUUUAAUCUUAACUUUUAAUUUAAUUUUUUUACUUAAUCUUUUAAUUUUAACUUUUAACUUAAUCUUUUAAUCUUAAUUUUUAAUUUUUAUUUUUUUUAACUUAACUUUUAACUUAACUUUUAAUUCAAACUUAAGUUUUAUUCUUAUAGUCAAUUAAUAGUAAUAAUUUAGUUAAUUAUUUUUAUUAUGUUUGCAUAGUAAAUUUCAUUUAACAUGUUAAUUUAAUAUUGGUAAUCAUUUCUUGGAAGGCCUAAACUAAUUGAAUUUUUAAUAUAAAGAUUUAAAUUAAUCUAACAAUUACAUAAUUAAGAGCUCUCCAAUUCCACCUCUUGGACUUGUUGUGUGGCAUAGGUUUCAUCAAGUGGUGAAAUUUGGCCUCACACCAACGCUCAACGAUGUUUCUGAAGUCUGUUCAUUUUAAGGCCUUGCUAGAUAUUAUUGUUGUUUUAUUUGACAAUUUGUACACAUUGAUGGUUCAUAGAUAAAUCUAUUUGAAAAGAAUAUUCUAUUUAAAUAGAAACUAGAAUAGCAAAGCGCCUUUGAUAGGUUGAAGAAAGCACUCAUUACUGCUCUAAUAUUGCAACCAUACGACCUCAACUUUCCUUGUAUAUUUGACAUUUAUGCUUUCAACUUUGCUAUUAGAGCAGUCUUUCAACAAGAUUUUGGUAGGGGCCUUCAACUUGUGGUGUAUGAAUUAUGUAAGCUUAGAAGGAUAGAGCACAAUUACUAUGUACAUAAUCGAGAGUAAUUAGCGAUUGUAUAUGCUACAAAGAUGUGGCAACACUAUCUAUUUGAAAAGCCAAUGGUUGUUUGGACUAACCAUUGAUCUUUGCUAUACAAUUUGCAUCUAGAAAUAUGAAAUUGGGACAUCAUUAUUGAGAAGAACAGUUGCAAUUUUUUGAUAUCUAGCUUAAAUAUAAGCAAGGGCAAUAAUAUAUUGUACUAGAUAGCUUAUUACAAAGACCAUAUUUGAAGGCCAAAUCGGCCCAUGAAAAAGACUAAAGCAUUUGAGAGGCCAAAAGAUAAAACAUGCCAUUCAAAAUAUCCAUAUUAUAUAUAAUUUUUUAUUUUUUUAUUUUUUUUUACACUCUCUCUUGCAAUAGGUGUACACUAAUAGCCACUCUAAAGAUUCUAUUUGUUAAAGAUGGUUACAUCUCAAAAUUGGUCAAAAAGAUCAUCUUAAUAGUCUACUUCUUAAUAGGUUACAUUCUUAAUAGUCUACUUAUUAAGGCCUUGAUAGUUGAUGCAAAGUCAAAAUCAAAGUCCACCAUCUUUCUUUGGUACAAAGAAUACAAGUGCUUUCCAUAGUGAUGUGCUUUUUUAUGUAAGGCCCUUCUCCAAGAGUUUCUUCAAUGUCUUUCGCGACUCUUCAAGUUCAUUUGGUAAUAUGUGAUAAAUUAUCUAACUUGUCGGUUAAGUUUCAAGCAAUGAUUUUAUUUGAAAAGAAGCAUAUUGAUCAAGAAGCAUGCCACUUGAUAAGUCGAUUCGAAAGACAACUCAAUAUUAUUGUAUGAAUUACUUUGUCCAUUCUACUCCUUUAAUUGUAUUUUCUACCACUGAUGCAAGAUUUGGAACCAUCAUAUAUAUCAGUUGCUUAUGUUGUAUUUUCUUCUUUAUAAUAGUCAUCCUUAUAAGUAAGUCUUUAGUUGUAGAUUGUUUUUUUUCUUCACUCAAUAUGGAGAUAUAAAGAGUCAUCUUGUGUCUACUAUCUUUAAAGGAGAUAAUCUUUGCUAGCUAAUCAACUUACUUAUUUUUCAUCUUUAGCCAUAGCAUACUAAAAAUAACUUCAUAUCUUAGCUUUAUUAUCUUAAACUUCUCUCUUAAGACGUAGAUGUUAUUGAAUCUCAAGAUUUCUUCUUCACAUGUCUCACUUAAUACGUUCUCUCAGUCACUUAUAAGGUAUAUAUUCCUUCUUUUGAUUACUUUAGUUUUAAUCCCAAGUUGAUCAAUAAUUUUGUCAAGAUGCAAUUUUUUGUAGAGUGACAAUCUACAAGCACUCAAUAUGAUUGUCCUCUUAGUCAUCCCAUUAGAUAUACUAAUUGAUCUUUUUUAUAGUUAUCUAAGGCUACGUCAUUUGUCUAUAAGAGAUAGCAGCUAUUCUUAAUACUAGCUUUUGGCACCUUUAAUAGAGAGUCCUAUUUUUCUAUUCUAUCUUAUUAUCGACUUAUUGAAUCUUAAGUCUAUAAAUUUGUCUUGAUUUGUUGGUAUUUCAAUUUUGAUAUUUUGGAAAAUCUUCAAUCUAAUGGUCUAGCUUCCAACAAUAGAAACACAAUCUUUUUUGUGCCAAUAUUUGUUGUCUUUGUGGUAUCAAUGAUCUUUCCAGGGCAUAGUAUUGGCAUUGAUUAUUGUACAUUAAAGAUCUCUAUUGGCAUUGUUUUUUGUGCAAUAGUAUUAGAUAGCAGCAUAGAACAUUGUGCUAUAGGUUGUGUUCUAUAAUUUCUUAAAUCUAUAGAAUUGACUAUCUUUGAAAUUAUAAUUAUUUCUUCAAAUGAUUGUAGAUCUUUUAGUUCCAUUUCUUUUUGGACCCCGGGUUUUAAUCCUUAUAGAAACCAAUCCAUCAUCUUUGCCUCUAAAACAUUGUCAAUUUAAAGAUAUAUUAACUUGAAUCGAGAGAAAUAAUCUUGUAGUCACCUAAAUUAUGUAAGAUUUUCCAAUUCAUUGCAUGCUAUCUUCUUUGCAUUAAUGGAUCAAAAUUGAUUCAUAAACGCGAUCUAAAACUCCUCUCAAUCACAAAAUCUACUUUUAGCUCUAUAGCUUUGAAUUUGAUGUUGCCACCAUAUGGUUGUCACAUCUCUCAAAUAAUUGACUACAUACAUAAUUCUUUGCAUGGUAUUUGUUCCAGAUAAUUAGAGGUAUUGUUGUAUGCUAAAAAAUAAUUAGCAUACAUCUUCUUGCUUUAAAGUUUUAGAGUUAUACCAAGCAUACUUAAUUUCAACGUAGCAGAUGCCAAUUCUCUUAUUCUAGAGGCUUCUAUUUGUCUUUAUAAAGUAGCUAUCUGACCUGAGAAGUGUUGUAUUUGAGCCUCCAUUUGAAAUUACUUUGUCAUGUCUGCUAUGAUGUAAUUUUCUUCUUGAACACUAAUAUUGGAAUGUCUUUUGUUCUUUUAGCUAACUUCUUAAAAGUAGCUUAUAGUAGCUUUAAGACAAUAUCCAAUAUAAUCACAACAAUUGACUUCAGAUUAGACAGUGGCUAUCGACACUCUACCAAAGAACAGUCUAACACUCGCUCUAAUACUAAUGAAACAUGAUUGGUCUAUCUUAAAAAUCUCAAACCCAUUUAAUCUACAACAACAUAAAUUCCGUCAUAAUGUAAGAGAUUGUCAACAAAAUCAAUCCAUCUUAAUUGUGUUUGAUAGUUUGGUGGAAUAACUUCAUUCACAUAAGGCUUUAUGUCUUUUAUUUCUUAACCAUUAUUUAUCUAUGGUUUUUUUAUCAAAUUUUUAUGUAUAUAUAUAUACACACACACAUAUAUAUAUUUAUUUAUUUAUAUAUCUUAGAUAUUAAUUAAUUAAUUAUUAUUAUUAUAUAUAUAAUAAUAUAUAAUAAUAUAAUAAUAAUAUAAUAAUAAUAUAAUAAUAAUAUAUAUAAUAAUAUAAUAAUAUAUAAUAAUAUAUAUAAUAAUAUAAUAAUAUAUAAUAAUAUAUAAUAAUAUAUAAAUAUAUAUAUUAUUUUAAUUGAUUAUUUAUUUAAUUAAAAUAUCCAAUAAUCAGCUUAUGAGAAUUUUUACAUACAUCACUUUUUUCAGCAAGAACAACCAUACUAAAACAUUGAUCAUAAUACUACCAUUGAUUAUUAUGACACCAAAAAUAUGUACAAGAAUCCUUUUAAACUUGUUGUCUAACCACUUCUAGGAAUCAACUAUCACCUUAGUAUGCAUGGCAAAUUACGGUCGAUCUGUCAUAGUCAUCACUCACAAGCCAUGUUUUGCCUUUGUUACUACCAGAUUGCCUCCACGUCCUUGCAACACCAUUGCUCUAAUUUCAAGCAAUAGCAAUGCCUUUAUUUCACCACCUCCUUCAAAAUAGCUACGUAAUUUAGAUCCGUCAAUACCAAUCCAACGUAGUACUACUAUCUUUUAUAUAUUAUUAUUGAUAUAUUUAUUUAGACAUACUAUUUUUUAAUAAGAAUAGAAUAAAAAAGACUUCUGAAAGGGCUCUUAAAAAUCUCUCAUAAAGAUGUCUUAAGAACUUCAAAAAAAAAAACCCCCACAAACCAGCAACCUAUCUUAUUGGAUUAGUCUAAGUAGACUAGAUUCUAGUCUAGACGGUUCCAAGUUGGGCAGAUUAUGUCAAUAAUGGUAGGUAAAUGAUGUAAGGAGUGUCGCAAUUUAAAUGUAGUGAAAUUAAUGAAGGUAGCGAAGGGAGGAGGUAGGAGGUGUAGUAUGCGAUACACAUAGAUGUCAAGUAGAAGCAGAUUUUGUCAAGGAUAUGUAUAUUAUCAAGAGAGUUGUAUUGUAUUAUAAUAUUUGGAUAAUAUAUUUUCUAUUGUUUAUUCCUAUCUUCAUUGCUUUAUUAAUAUAAUACUUCUAUUUUUACUUAAUCUAAUUUUAAACCAUAAUCAUUUCAUCCACCAUUAUAAUUGUCCUCAACUCUUAACACCUAAAUGAGACUUUUCUUCAAUAAAUUAUCUUACUUAACUACACCAAAAAAAAAGUCUUCUUAAUUCUAUUGAUUUAUUGUAAUAUUUAUUCUAACUAUAUUGUUAAUCAAAAAAUUUGGCUCACAAAUAUAGUAGACUAUAACAAAAGAAAAUAGAAUAAAACCAAAUAAGAAGAUGCAAAACCAAACUUUACUAAGAAAAAUGAUCCAAAGCCAUACCUAACCAGUUGCUAAAAUGGCCUGAGCUAGUCCUACUUAUACUUUUUCCAACUACCUUGGAACUUUUUGGAAUGUUCUUAAUAAUGGACUUCACGUAAAUAAUCAUCAUAAACUCUAUCUAGAAUGUUCUAUGAUAGGCUCCACCUAGAUAAUUGUCCUAAAUUCUUUUUAGAAUGUUCUAUUGUUGAUCCUACAUAGCUUACUAAUUUAGCUCCAAUUCUAUGAACUUCUAUAAACUUCUUAAAUAUUGCUCCAACUAUCUAUCCCAAUAUGUCUACUAUACAAAUAUCUAAUCUAUAUCCUACUAUAUUAUCAAUUUCAAAAAUAAAGCCUUUGAUAUCGAAAUAGACUUUAAGUCCCAAGAUGCAUGUAGAACAAUAAAAAAUAACCAUAGAUGCUACUAUAUUAAGAUCUAUACAACCAAUUUCUUUAGGUGCAAUGGCAAAAAACUUACCAUGUUUGGAAAGCAUCAUUAGAAACUUCUUCCUAUCCACUUUGGUCAAAAAAACACUCUCUUCAAUUUUCAACUUAUCCAAAGACUCUUUAGUAAACUUUUGACCAGUCUUUCUUAACUCCCUCAAUCUCAGAUCUAUAGUAGCUUGUUUGAUGUGUUCUUUGGUAUCUUGAAGAAAUUGAGUUGCCAUGGUGUCGUGUUGUGGUUUGGCUACUAUAUGAAAAUAAUGUAAUUAUGUACUUAAUAUAUAAUUUACUAAGUAACAUGGACAGAGCCAUAUUAGUAGAUUUUAGUUAGUUAUAGAAUGUAAUUUGAUUAUUACCUUGAAAAGAGGUUGUUUAAAAAGAUUACUAUAGAAUUUGAAUAACUUUAAUUUCUUUUUUGAUAGUAGCUUUUAAGAUUGAUUUUGAUUGAUAGUAACUUCUAAAUAUUUAAAGACACCUUUGUUAGACAUUGGUGACCUUUAAAAACUUAUUUUGGUUCUUUUAUUUGGUGUUUAGAGCAUAAAUUAUGUAAAUCUUAUACAAAAAAGGAUUGAAGAAGGAUUUUAGUAGCAAUGUUAAUAAUUAAGGUACCAAUAUAGAUGAAUGGAUAUGGAUGAUGAAAAUCUCUAUUUUUAUUGGUCAAAAAUCAUGACCAUUGGGCUUCGAGGAGGCUGUCGGAGGCCAUAUUAGAGAUUAGGGUUAGUUUUUCAAAGCCAUUUGAGUUUUAAAGGCUAGAUUCAGUAAGUUUAGAUUUUUGACUAUGAUUUUGGUACAAAUUCUAUAUGAUUUAGAGUUUAUAUGAAGGAGAUAUAGGCGCUCAAAGUUAAGGUGUUGAUUUGGGAGCUACUGUCACUCUUUUUGACAUAACGCACUCGUACAGAGAGCAAUUGAAGAUCGGCGAUCUCAACUGGAGAGAGCACUUUUGCGGCUAUACUUUUUAUAUAAUGCUUGCUAGAUUCCAAAUUAUAAUAAAGGAGUUAUUGAAUUUUGAAGUUAGCACAUGCAAUCUAAAGGUAGUAAGUGACCCAAUUUACUAGUGGUUGUGUCUUGAGCUAUAUCUUGAGCAAUUUGACAAGGUUUUGGAUCAAAAUUUCAAGAAAUGUGUACAUUCAAGUUAGUAAACUUUGUACAUAAGUUUGAUGAUAUUUGAAUAUUGGAUUCUUGAGAUAUUAAGAAAAUAGUGCUUAAGUGCUUGUAAAUUAGGAUUUAGAGCAUUUGCUAGGAUUUCUUAGAUGCCAAAAGAUUGGGAGUAAAUUUGUAGUUAGUUUUUUUGUGAAAAAAGUUAAGGGUGAUUUCUACCUAUCCUAUAAAUUUGAAACAAACUGAAAGGCUAGAUCAAGAAUUAUGAAUUUCUAAAAUUUGGAAAGAAAAAAUCCUUUGUGGGAAAAAUAUGUUUUGAAGGGAUUUUAUUAUAUUUUUGAGUUUUAUGCAAAUCAAAGGAAUUUUAGAAGCUAAGAAAAGAUUCAUAUAAAGGUUUAAGCUAAACUCUCUACAACUAGAUACCCAAUGUAUUCUCAAAUAGCAAAUCAUGCCAUACGACAAUGGGCUUCACCUUCUUUGCCAUAGUUUUAUACUUAGUUUGCACCAUAGCUUCUUAUAAUACCACAUGACUAUCAACUAUCCGAGCCUCUUGAAAAACUCUCAAAUCUCCUUACAUAUUUACUUUAAGUGAAGCUCCACAACAUUAGUUCUACUUCCAUUUAUAUAUGAAGCCAAUCUCUUUAAAUCUUUUACAUAAUCAUCUUCAAAUCUUUCUUCAAUAACACUUGAAAUGCAUUCAUCACUUGAAAUCAUAUCUAACCUUUUUAAAUUUUUCAUAAAUUUCUUCAUUCAACCUUUAUAUGUAUGACCUAAAUCUCCAACUUAUUGAAAUCUCAAAAUCCUUGAAGUUAUUAAAUCUAAAAAUCCACACUCAAAGCUAUCUACAUUGAUGAGUAUAUAAAUAAAAGAUUCUCUAAUCCUUAUACCUCCAUGUAACAAGGGUACUCUUUAGAAAUCCAAAAACUCGUCAUUGGUUCUUAAAGGAGUUUUUCUCAAUUGGUCUCUAUUUUGUUCAAGUUUCGAUCUUAUCGCGAGGAAUUGCACUAAAGUUUUUUUUAUCAUAGUCCUUCAUUCUUACAUAGUGAGAGCCAUCAUCUAAAACCUUAGUUUUUAUCCUUGUAGCUAUAAUAAAGGAUUGCCCUAAAAUAACAAGAUAAGUAGCACUAUGUCAAGGACAAGAACUCAAUAAAGAUAAAUAAACAAGUGAGACUUCUUUCAAAGAAAGAUGACAAAAUAGAAAUAACUCAAUAUGUAUAUUAAAAAAGAAAUUAGAAUGGCUAUUGCCAAAAGACAAGAAAACUAGAGACCCUUGAAACUAGACUAAAAGUAAGAAAGGAAUUGAUAAGAAUGAAGAAGGCUUUACUCUUGUCUCUAUAUAUACUAUCUAACUAGGGGCUACGUAGCAAUGUUCUAUAGGACCUUCAAUAUGUAUUGACUUUAUAGGACACAUGCCUUGAAUUACAAGGCAAGUUUUUCUAUGUGUGGGCCACAUAGUUAGCUUGGUCUUCAAGCUAAUAAGAUGUGUGGCACAUGGCCAACUUGUUGACGAUGUUUUUAAUCCAAAAAGUCAAUUAAAGACAUCUAUAAAAUCAAAGCAGCAUCUAUGAAGCUUCUAAGAAGCUUUCAUAGUAAAUAUUAUAGAAUUAACUUAUUUUUAUCUAUUUUUAUUUACUUCUACCUAUUUAUACAUGUAAUUAUUGGCUUACAUGUGUAUGUCCGUGAUAUAACCCUCCCUUCUAGGGACAAGUUCUAUAAAGAGCGGUCAUCACAUGUUCAGGAAAUCUAUGAUGCGACAAAUUAUAUUUGCCACAUACAUUGAUCUUUAGUCUCUUCAAAGAUGAUUGAUAGGACCUCUCAACCAUCGAUAGUGUCUCACAUUAGGGCAGGAAGACCACCUAGUUAUUUGAUUGUUGUUGAGGCCUUUAUAACUUCCUUUGAAUAAAAAAUUUAAAACAUCUCAAGAAUUGUUCCUACUUCUAGUAAAUCACCUAACAUUGGGAGUUUUUUCUAAGAUUGUGAUACCAAAUGCAUUGUAUCUCACCAUCUAUUCAAGGAAGAAUAUGUCGUUCUUGAAGAUCUUCAUCUUCAUUGCAUCGUCUUGAAGGUUGUGACAAUCGUGAUGUCUCAUCUGAUAGGUCAGCAAACAAAGGCUCUUGAGUCAAAUCCAUUGGUUGUUGGUUCUCCAUCUCUUUAGCAUCACAACUACAAAGAAGCUACAAACAAAGAUUGAAAGUAGAAUGUUAUCUUGCCUAGAUCUUGUUCUUUUAAUGAGGAAGAUUUUCAUCUUGAUUUUGAUGGAUGUCGUCGAUGAAAAGCCUCCACCUCCUUUGCUGAAUUUACAAGAUUCUUUACUGGCUUCCAUAUGCAUUCACUAAUAUCAUAUUAAUGCCAAUGGAUAAGAUAUUUCUAUUUAUUUUGGCGCUGCCUUGAAUCUAAGACUUCUUCCACUUCAAAUUCUUCAUUAUUGUCCACUUCUAUAAGAGGAGGUGGAACUUGUCUUCUUUUUGGUAUGUCCAUUGUCUUGUAUGGUUCAAGAAGAGAGACAUGGAAUAUUGGAUGGAUUUUCAUUGACUCCGAUAGGUAUAAACGAUAUGCAAUCGGAUUGAUUUGUGUAGAAAUAUAAAAUGGUCAAAGCCUUCAAUAGUCCAACUUAUCACAAGGAUGAGUGGUCUUGAUAUUGGGACGAAGUAACCAUACUUUAUCACCUAUAUGGAAUGGUAGUUGUUCCUUUCGAUAGACAUCCACAUUGACCUUUUGUUGUUCUUGAGCUUCUUUUAACUGAACCUUCAACAUUGCAUGCAGCUCUGACAAAUGAAUUGUCAAAUCUUUCGCUGCAAGAUUAUCAACUUUUGAAAAAUCAAAAGUAUUAAGUCAUGGAUGAUAACCAUAAUUAGCAAAGAAAGGUGUUUAUUUUGUAGAAAAAUAUACCGUGUUAUUAUAAGCAAACUUUGCCAAUGGCAAAAGAGUUGUCCAAUCAUCUUAUUGGUAGUUGAUGGUACAUCUUAAAUACUCCUCCAAAACUUGAUUAACACACUCCGUUUGUCCAUCAGUUUGAAGAUGGAAUAUCAAAGAUAGUUUUAUAUCUACUUUUAGAAUCUUGAAAAGAAUUUGCUUAAUUCUUGAUACAAACUGAAUUCUCCUAUCUGAUAUAAUAUCCUUGGAUAAUCCAUGAUAGCGAUAGAUAUUGUCAAGAAAGAGCUUAGUUGUUUCUUCACCUGUGGUGGAUUUUGUACAUGGUCCAAAAUGUGCCAUCUUGGUAAAAUGAUCUACUAUCUCGAAUAUAGAAUCAUAAGAACCUGAGAUUGAAAGAUCUAUAAUGAAAUCCAUAGAAACAAAAGACUAUGGUUGUUUUGGAAUGGAUAAUGGUUGAAGAAGUUCAUAAGGGCGAUGACAAGGAGUUUUUGAUCUUGAGCAAACAUCAUAAGAUUAUACAAAAUCUUUGACUGCUUUCCACAUUUGAUGCCACCAAAAGUCCCUGGAUAUUAGUUACAAAGUUUUAUUGUAUCCAAAAUAUCUUUCUGCUGGGAAGUCAUGAUGAGCUUGAAGAACACGUCAUCGAGCUUCACCUUCUGGAACAUAUAGGUGUCCUUCAAAAUAUAGUAGAUUAUUCUUAAAUUCAAACUUGGAAGUAUCAUGAGACUUUGAAGGAUUUUCCUUAAUAUCACAAAUAAGAGGAUUAAAAGACAUAAUUGACUAAACUUGCUUAAUGAAAGUUGAAUCAACAGUUAGUGUUGAUUUUAUUGCUCGAAGAUGAAGAUGCUUUGGCUUCAAGAGAAUUGUCCAUUGUUGAUUGAAAGCAACAUCUCCUUCCUUUGGUGCAAGGUAAGAUCGUCUAGAGAGUGCAUCUGACAAACCUUGAUGUUUUCCAAGUUGGUAAGUGAUCUUGAAUUUGAAUCUUGACAAAGAUAUACUUCAAUAAACUUGGCAACGAUUCAAAAUACAUGUUGACAUAAAAUAUUCAAGGUUUUUCUGAUUCGUAUACAUGGUGACUAUGCUAAAAGCACUUUUUAGAUAAUGGCGCCAUUCUUGAAACGAAUCCACAAUGGCAAGAAGUUAUUUGUCAUGGAUCUCGUAGUUGAACUAGGCUACUCAAAAUUUUCUGGAAUGAAAAGCUAUUUGGUGAAGUUUAUCACCUGUUCCCAUUUGUAAUAAUACGACAUCCAAAGUAAAGUCUGAUGGAUCUAUUUCUAUAAAAAAAUGGCUUAAAUAAAUUGACAGGAUACAAGAUUGGUGCAGAAACCUAGUUGUCUUCAAAGCUUCAAAUGCUACUUUUGCUUAUUGAUUCCAUUGAAAUUUGUCUUUAUAAGUCAAAUAUAUAAGUGGAGCUACAACUUGAAAAAAAUCUUUGAUGAAGAUUUGAUAGUAGUUGGUAAAUCCCAAAAAGUAUUAAACAUCUCUUACCAUUUUUAUCAUCUUCCAAUUUAUAAUAGUUUGAACUUUCUUAGGAUCCAUCAUAAAUCCAUCAUUUGAAAUGAUGUAUCCUAAGAAGUUAACUUGAGUAGUGUGAAAUAUACACUUUUCUAUCUUAGCAUAGAGUCUCGCAUCUCUUAGUUUUUGUAAUACACAACGAACAUGAAGUUCAUGUUCUUCUAAGUUCUUAGAAUAGAUUAAGAUGUCGUCUAGGUAACAAACAAUAAAAUCAUCUAAAAACUCUCAAAAGAGAUCAUUUAUUAGAUAUUGGAAUAUUGCUGGUGCAUUUGUAAGUCCAAAAGGCAUGAUGUUGUAUUCAAAAUGUCUAUACCUUGUUCAAAAUGCAGUCUUCUAUUCAUCUCCUUCUUUGAUGCAUACUAGAUUGUAUGCUCUUCAAAGAUCUAUUUUUGUAUAGAUCUUAGCUUGAUUCAAUUGAUCAAGGAGUCCAGAUAUCAAAAGUAGUCGAUAUUUGUUCUUGAAGGUGAUUUUGUUGAGUCCUCAAUAAUCGAUAUACAUCCACAAUGAUCCAUCUUUUUUCUUCACAAAUAAAAUUGGAGCUCCGUCUGGAAAUUUGGAAUGGCAUAUGAAAUUCUUGGCGACAUUCUCUUCAAUAUAUUCUUUGAAUUUAACCAACUCAUUUUGUGAUAGAUUGUAGAUUGGUCCAAAUGGUGGUUGUGCUCUUUCUUGAACGUCAAUUGAGCAGUAAUAGGAAUGAUGUUUUGGAAGAAUAUCUAUAUUUUUCUUUUAAAAUACAACUUGAAAAUCUUGAUAUUCACUUAGAAUGCCACUUGAAGUCUUUCCACCAGUAGAAACAGGUGUGGCAUAAGUGAUACAAGGUGAUCUUGCUUUUGAAGCAUGCAAGAAAGCUCUUACACCUUCAAAUACACGUUUAAUUGUACUAGAUUUAUGAUUUUUUACUUAAUUAAUUACAUUCUUAGUUAUACUUUUAGAAAAUUCAAGACUACGAGAAGUCUAAUCUAUUUUAGGAUUAUGUUUUUCUAGCCAUGAUAAACCUAAAAUAACUUGAUUAAAAGGAGAUCUAUUGAUAUUAAAUAUUACAAAGCUACUAUGACCAUUAGUUGCUACUUCUAUAGAAAGGGUUUUAUGAGUAACAUCUCCUGAAGACAACAGACGACCAUCUAUGACUUCUACAUGAAUAGGUUUAGUUUUCUUCACUAGAAGUAUGCUAUGUCUUUUAGCAAAUUCUUCAUCUACGAAACAUGCUUAGGUUCCUGAAUCUAACAAGGUAAAGGCUUUGUGAUGUUUAGGUCUUAGAAUAACAUUUAUCGUAAAACAUAGAGAGGAUUCUGAGGAAAGAAUAGGACCUUCACUAGUUAUUAUGUAAGGUUCCAGUCGCACGGUCCCUAUUGUAGAUGAACAAAUUUGUUUCCGACAUGCUAUCUUCUUUGAUAGCCAUACUCUUCAUUUUAUGGUUGCAUCGCUUCUUUGAGCAAUGUUGAGUAGUGUGCUUAGAUUCUCCAUAAUAAAAGCACAAUCCUUCCUGAGGACGACGAGUCUUUUCUUGCUCAAUAAGAGGUUUGAAACGUACCGCAUUAAUUUACAUAUCCUCUACUUUCGAAUGUAUGUGUUGAACAGAUGUUGGUAUUGCCAUUGAAUUAUAGUAACAUUGAGGUCCACUUGUACAAUUCGCAGAUCAAAAUUUAAAAAGACAAUUGUCGCACUUCAUAGCAAUGUCAAUUGUUUAAUUCAAUGUUUAAGGAUUAUGUAAGUUGAGUAUUAAUUUUUUUACUUCAUAUUGUAAUCUGUAGACAAAUUGACUAACAAGUGCAGCAUCAUCCUACUUGAUAUCAGUUGUAGGUUAUCAAAACUAUGAAGCAUACAACAUUACUUAUCGAUUGUCUUGUCGCAAAAUACAGAUCUUGUUGGUUGAAAUACAAAUUGCAUCAUGUUCUCUAUACAUGGAUCAAAACUCCACCAAAAAAACCUUCAGAUUAUCCAAUAUUGGAUCUUAUCAUUCAAGAAAAGAUGAAAAUCAUGAUAAUGUUGAACUUGAAAGAAGCGUAUCAAUGAAUCUAACUUGCGAUCUUGAAGUUGGAUAGCUUUGAGAUUGAAGUUCAAUCACAAGUUGUACUUAACUGAUAAAUCCUCUAAACUUUGAUUUGGCGCCAUCAAACUUCUCGAGUAGGUAAUUCUAGGUUUUUUAACACUGGAAGGGUGUUCUACUAUAGGAGAAGGGAUAUGAUUUGGUGCAGAUGUUGAAGCAGCUCCAAACAUUUCUAUAUCUUCACUUUUUUCCAAUCUUGUUGCUCCUUAUGGUAGUAAAUUGAGUUGAUGCAUCGCAAGCAUUAAUUCCCUCAAUUGCUCUUACAUUUGUGCCAUUGCACUCUUCAUUUUAGCAAGUUCUGCCAAGAUAAUACUUAUAAAAUAAUGAUGUCUAAUACCGCUCAAGACAAAUACAAGAGAAGACUUGAGAACAAAGAAAAUAUUAACGACAAUAUCAAUUUAGAAGAGGGUAAUCUGCAACUUCUAAUAUGCUUAUGACUUAUCAAGAGAAAGGAAUAAUCCACUCUUAAUCAAGAAUAGACAAAGCUCUAAUAUUGUAAGUAUACUCUUGUGAAUCUGUCAAUGACAAGAACUUAAUAAAGAAAAAUAAACAAUUAAAACUUCUCUCAAAGAAAGAUGAUAAUAUAGAAAUAACUCAAUAUGUAUAUUAAAAAAGAAAUUAGAAUGGCUAUUGCCAAAAGACAAGAAAACUAGAGACCCUUGAAACUAGACUAAAACCAAGAAAGUAGUUGACAAGAGUGAAGAAGGCUUCACUAUUGUCUCUAUAUAUACUAUCUAACUAAGGGCUACGUGGCAAGGUUUUAUAGGACCUUCAAUAUGUGUUGACUUUAUAAGACACAUGCCUUGACUUACAAGGCAAGUUUUUCUAUAUGUAGGCCAUAUAAUUAGCUUGGUCUUCAAGCUAAUAACAUGUGUAGCACAUGGCCAACUUGUUGACGACGUUUUUAAUCCAAAAAGUCAAUUAAAGACACCUAUAAAAUCAAAUCAGCAUCUAUAAAGCUUCUAAGAAGCUUUCAUAACAAAUAUUAUAGAAUUAAAUUACUUUUAUCUACUUUUACUUACUUAUACUUAUUUAUACAUGUAAUUAUUGGCUUACAUGUCUAUGUUUGUGACACGGUGUUGGGAUAAAGAGAAUUUGCUUCAAGAAAGCACUAGGUUCGUGGCUGCAAUUAAUUGCUCAAUCAAGUCUUGAAAUAAGAAAGACCAAGUUUAUAUAUAUAUAUAUAUAUAUAUAUAUAUAUAUAUAAUACUUUUAGGUGCUAUUAUAUUAAAUAUAUAAGUCUUAAGUUCCCAAAAAACACCCAAAAUAUGAUAAAACCUCUAUAUCCUUAAAUAUCUUUAUGGAAUAUUAUUUCCAAACUUCAAAAACUCAUAUCUUCCAAUCGGACUGCUCAAACACACUCAAUUUUUUUUUGAAGUACUAAUAUACUUUUAAUAACUAUUACAACAAAUUUCAACUAUAAAUUCAUCACGAAACUUAAGAUAUCACUAAAACCCUAAUAAUAGCUUCAAUCCCUAGUUUUUAUACACCCACAUAUAUUUUUCUUCAUAUCUCUUCAACUAUGCAUUUAAAUGCUAAAAAUUUUAUAUACAUAGCUUUUCAACAUAAUAAUAUGCCUUAUGUAAAAAUUUUGAGCCAUAAAUUCGUCUAAAAUCUCAAGAUAUGCCUCCAACCAUUACUAUGAAUAAAAUCACUUACUUACUGCCUUUGAUUUGGAUUUGCUGAAUUUAACUCUCUAUAACUUCUUCAUCCAAAUUCCAAAUUCAUCAAAUAGUAUAUGAAAAGUGUAGUAAAAAAAGUGCUCUCUCUAACUCUAGUUGUCAAUCCUUUGUUGCUCUCCGUAAACAUAUGUUAUGCCCCAAAGAGUGAUAGUAGAUAUGAAAUUGACACUUUAACUUUGAAUACCAAUAAAUCCUUUAUUAAAACUCCAAAUCACACAAAAUUUGCACCCAAUCUAUAUCCAAAAACCUUAACUUUCUAACACUAGUCUCCAUAGCUCAAAUGACAUCAAAAAAGAAACUCUAAUUCCUAAUAAGACCUCAGGCAGCCUCCUUGAAGCCCAUUGGGCAUAGCCUUCGACCAAUGGGAAUGAAGAUCUCCAUUCCUUACCUUCAUCCACCCAUGUCUUGCUUUCAUCCCUCCCAAUAAGCCUCCUCUUAAUUAAUAUUUUCAUCUUUAGGCUCUAAUCUCCUCUCAAUGCUUCAUACUAAAUAUUUAAAUCUUAUAAUAUUUUUAAAUGUUAUAAUUAAAAAAGAUAAAAUUCAAAAUAAAGUUUCUUAUAUCUAAUCUCUUUAAAUUAAUGUAUUAGUCAUUCUAAUAUAUACCAAGACUUAUAAAUAUAUUGUAUAUUCUAACUAAUUUUUAUAUAUUAUAAGCAAUUACAAUACAACAAUGGAAUUUUCUACAAAGAAAUUUAUUUCUACCUCCAUAUUUCUAAUCCUUCUUCUAACUUCCAAAAUGUUCUAUAAAAAUCAUCUCACUUGUUGUUGGCAACCCUCAAUAUCCAUCCAUGGUUAAUAUCAAUGGAUGACUUGUCUAAUUCAUAAAUCCUCCUUGAUAUGAUGUUGAUUUCUAAUUUAUAAUCAAUAAGUACCAAGAUGUGUUCUUUCAAGUCUUUUAGUCUCACUUGAGCCUCUAUAGUAGCUCUAGUCCAAAAAUAUGUGCAAAUUAAGCAUUCAUCCUUUCAUACUCAAACCUCCUAUGAAAAGCACAAAUAGAAAUAUUUACCUCACUAAUAUCUACACCAUGCUCCAUCUCUUUGUCGCUUCUUGUUUUUUCUUGAUUUUUGUCUCUACUAUGGCCUUGAAUAAUCACCUUCUUUUUUUUAAGUAUCAUCUCCUCAAAUAUAGGUGCACAAAGUUGGAAAAAGACUUGUCCUAUCUCUUGAUACUCUUCUUUUUUUAAAUAGGAAUUUUAUAUCUUUACCAUAACUGCCUCUACCGUCAUUUGCUUCUUUUUUUUUAUGACAUCAAUGAUAAACUUAUGGAAGUCCUUCUUUACAAUGUCAAGUGCCUCUUUUAAGAUAAAUUCAAUUUUUGCAUCAAGAAUUUUCUCUCUCCCAAAUUUAUUUCAUACCAAUAAAACUUUUGAUGUCUAAUUGAAGCUUAUAAGGACUUUUAUCUUUAGACUUGUUUGAGCUUUCUUUUCUUUGUUUUUUACUCUACUCUCUUGAACUUCAACUCUAUUUUUUACUUGAGAUAAAGGCACUACUUGAGCUUUUGGAUAGGAAGGUCCUUCUCUUCUUUGAGUAGGCUCCCUAAUCCUUGGUGGCCUCUUUUUAUUGGAGAGCUUUACCAAAUCUUCUUAAAUAGAUCUAAUCUUCUUCUCUUCCAUAAUGGCAUCUUCAUCUUUUAAAUCUUUAUUACCACUUAAAAAGACUUUGAUGCUAAUAGUAUCAAUUAAAAUAUUUCAAUCUAUUACUCUUCUAAUAGCUUCUGCACUUCUAAUCAAUGCCUCUCUCAAUGGCCUCAAAGUAGCUAUCAUGCCUCUAAUGUCUACCUUAAUGAAUUGAGACUCGGCCUCUCUCAUAUGCAAUAUACUUGCUUUCUCAAAAAAAUCCUCUAUAAGCUUCUUAAUACCUCUUCUUCAAAAAUUGAGCUUCAAAGAUUCUCCCAUAGUGGUGAGCCUAACUCUAUCUUUUUUGAAGAAGAUAACUCCCUUUUUUAAGUCUUUAUCAUAAUUGAAGCAAUCUUUUUUGUUCAUACUUGGGACUAUCACAAUACAUGUACUUCUUAAUACAUCUCUUUAAUUCCUCCAAUGCAUACAAAAAAGUAGCCCUUUGGCUCUUCUUCAACUCAUUUAUUUCAACUCUCAAUUCUUUCAUAUCUUUAAUCAAUUUCUCAAAUGUGUCUCUAAAAAGAAUCUUAUAUGUUUCUUGAAUUGGAGCAGUUGUUACUAGACUUGAUGGAAUAAUUGGCAUCAUAGGUGAUAAAACUUUAAGUCUCAAAGUCCCUCUUUUUGCCUUCAUUUACUAUUUCUUGGUCACCAAUAGCAUUGCAUCUUCUACUCUCUUCUAAUUAUUAGUUAAACCUUCUUCAAUGAACUUAUUAGACAAAAAAAUAAAAAGCAUAUCUCCUAGUGCUUCAUUUAUUGUUUGCAAGAAGAGCUUGGUCUUCCUUAUAUCCAAUAAAAGUCUCUCUAAGGAUGAAAGUAGAAAGAAUUUUUUCAUAAACUCCUUAAGCAACUUGUUAGGGACCAUAGACCUCCUCGAUUAUUUCUCAAUCCAUUCCAAAAACAAUCUUUUUGUAAUUCUAUCUAAAUCUUCAUAAAAAAAAAUCAUCUCUUAACCUCCUUUCAAAGUCAUUUCAUGCUUCUAAAUUAUCUUUAUACAAAUCCUUCAUCCUCUUUUUAAUUUUAGAAAUACAUGCCAAUUCAAAACUAGGAAUAUAGUAAGACUCUGGGACUAUAUAUCUCCAUUUCUUCAACAUAUAUUAGGAGAAACUUAUGAUGUUUCUUCUAUUGAACCUCCUAUGCUUGUUGACCAUAUCUUCCAAUACUUUAGUCACCUCCUUUUCACUUGAUUGUACCUUUUGUUGUCUUUCUAUGAACAUACUCAAAGCUAAGAAGAAAUCAUUGGUACUUGCUCUUUUAGUGCUAAUUACAACAACCCCUCUAAAAUCACCCAUCAUCUUCAAAUAUCAAAAAUAUUUUAUUUUUCUCUUUUUAACUCUUCAACUCCUCUUCAUCUUCCAAGCUUGCACCUUAGCUCCAUAAUUCAAUUGUGCUCUAUUUAUACUUCCAAUUACUCUAAAGAUGCUUUCAAUAGAAGUGCCAAAUUUUUGUCAAGAAGUGAGCAUCUUCAAAAAAAUAUAGGAUACUUGAUUACAAGUAGAUUAUAAGAAGGCACAAUAUUAUCCAAAAUGAAAUUUAAUAUAAAAGGCAGCCCAAAGGCUAGGUAAAAUUUAUCAAUUAAUUUCUUUUUUAUACUAUGAUGCAUCUAUUUCCUAAUUCUAAUCUCAAAUCCAAACCUCCUUUCACUAAAAUAUUUAUAACUCAUUUAUUACUAACUCAAUCUAGAUAAAAUUUAGCUUAUUGAGAAUAAAUAAAUAAAUAAAUAAAUAAAUCCAAUAAAUGGCAUAGAAAAAUUCAAGUUAGUCUUAAAAUUUGCUACCCAAAUAUUCUAAUAAUUCCUUCCUACAAAUUUGCUUGGAUCUCUAUCAUCACAAGUCCAUUACUUAUUUGCUAUAUCUUGUUGGAAAGCUCACAAUGAAAUCUAGCUUCUUUCUAAAUAUCAACACAAAAAAAAUAAAAAUAAAAAGUAGUUGCAUGGAAAAUCUCAAUCCAAUAUUUUUAAUCUUUUUCACAUAUAUUUUUUUCUUAGAUAGAUAUUUACACUACCUUUUUACUUUGUUGUCCAAAAUUUGACAAAUUAACUCCAAUAUGAAAAGUAUAAGAUGUAGACAUUGCAAAAUUAUCUUGCUAAGCAUAGUUGCAAGAGUUGAUGGUUCUUAAUAGGCUUUUGCUUGUAAAUGUCUUUUGUUGAAGCUUGAGCAGUACAACAUGUUUUUUCUUUUAUCAAAAUGUAUUAAUAACAUAAUAUUGAGUGAAUUCACAUGUCCUCCUCAAACUAUAGGUCGACAUACACUAUAAACAAAGAAACAAAAAAGUUGAAACAUCCAAUCUUGCUUUCUUCUAUUACUCAAAAAAAAUUAAUAACCAUAAAACAAACUAAUGUAAUACAAAUGAUAUAGCUGAUAAAUGUAAGAUCAUGAAUGGAGUUUCAUCUCAUUUAAAGCAUUAAUUAAAGUGUAAUGAAAUGAGUAGAUAAUUUAAUCCAUAAUGUUUGCAUCAAAGUUUGAUUCAAAUCAAAAUGAUUCUAAAAUAAAAUUUUAUAUAACUUGAGAUAGUAUUUUUAGUUUUAUCACAUAGAAAAAUGCAUAAUUAAUAAUUAUAACAAAAAACCUCUACAUUCAAGUGAAAAAUCCACUUCACUCCAAACAUUACUUACUAGCACAUUUCUAUCAUAUUUGAUUGCUAUGAUAAUAUAUUGUUGUUGAUAACUCCAUUGUUAGAUAAAACCGUGUCGUUGUUAUGAAACUAGGUCAAUGUAAUUUGACAAUGAGGUUGAUGUGGUUCAACAAUGACAUUACAUCAAUAUGGAUUGCAAAGUCUGCAAUAAUGGCAAUGAUGUAGCAACAAAUAUUUGUCUCUAUCCUUGUUGUAAAUCAACUGAAUUUACAACAUGCAACAUGUUUAGGCUUGAAAAAUAAUCUUGUCAGAAUAAAUUAAAAUAAAAUUUGUUCUUAUUACACAACAUGCAUAUUGUCCCUCUUCUUUCACAACUCAUGUCUUCCAUUCAAUUGAGCAUUCACCUUCAAUUGCAUUCAUUCAUAGAAAAAAAAAAAAAAAAAAAAAAAAAAACUUAUAAACUUUUUAUUUUAUUGAUUGCUACAAUAAUAGAAUAUUGUUGAUAAUAAUCAAUAUUUUUAAUAUAAUAUUAUUUAUUAUAAUGUCAUUGUUGGUAAUAUGGAUAAAGUUUCAUCUUAUUUAAAGCAUCAUUUAGAGUAUAAUGAAAUGAAUUGGUGACAAAUAAUUUAAUUCCCAACGUUUAUAUCAGAGUUUGAUUUGAACCAAAAUAGUUCCAAAAUGAAAUUGUGCAUGUCUUGAGACAAUGUUUUUAGCCUUGUCACAGAAGAAAAUGCAGGAUUAAUAAUUGCAACAAACAACCUCUACUCUCAUGUCAAAAAUCCACUUCACUUUAUAUGUUGCUUAUCAACAUAUUUUUCUUACCUUGCAUCUAAAUGUAAUAUCAAAAAUAAAUAAUCACUUAGCAUACUUUACUAAUUUCUAAUAUCAUUAAGUUGAAAACAACACAAUACACAAUACUUUGUGCAUUAGAUUGUGCUUCAAUGCCAUUUGUAUUCUCAUUGGCAUAGUUAAAGAUCGGAGUCAAAUAUGCAUCUAAUAAAAUUCCAUUGCUCCUCACAACUUAUGCCUCAUCUUGUUGAUGUUUGAUUGUCCACUUCUUUCAAAAUUAUUGAACUUCAUCUUCAAUUGUAUUUAGUUACAAAAAAUAAAUAAAUAAAUAAAUAAUAGCUUCUAUUGUAUUUUCAAUUGCAUUUAGUUACAAAAUUGUAAAAAUAAAAACGAGCCCUAUGAACUCCUUGUGAAUUAUGUAUGAACUCCUUGAGAACUCAGCUUGAAUGCAUUCACUUAUAGAAUUGCAAAACAAAAGUGAGCCUUGUGAAUUUCUUAUGAAUUUCAUGUGAAUUCUCUAUAAACUCCAUUUGAGUGCAUUCAAUUAUAGAAUUUUAGAAAAAUAAUGAGUCUCAUGAAUUCUUUGUGAACUCUCUGUGAACUUCCUAUAAACUCUGCUUGACUGCAUUCACUUGCAAAAUUGUAGAAAAAAAAUGAGCCCUCUAAACUCUACUUGGAUUUUGGUCAAGCUUUUGCUUCUUUUCAAACUCCAUACAAUGUUAAGUUUUUUGAUGAAAACCAAGAGAGAUGCAUGCAGUGAAGGACAGCCACCACUUGUAUUCUUGACCAAUCUUAAUAUAUAAAUUAAUUGAAUCCAAAAUUAUGAACAUUGACUUAUUUUUAGCUUGUUAAUUUUCUUUCCACUACUCCGAUGCUAUCACUAGCAAUGUAUAAUGCUUUUUGAAAUGCCUUGAUCAACUAUAAAACAUCCUAUAGAAUGCCUUGAUUACCUAUAAAAUGCCCCAUGAAAGGCCCUAUAAACUUCACAAAAGGUUGACAUUUUUUAUUAAAAACAAGGACCAAUCCAUGCAACCAUUAAAAACCACUACUUGAUGAAUCCUUGUCAUUAUGAACUAUUGAUAACAUUACAUUUUUUGAUGAAAACAAACAUAGAAGGGUGUAUGCACUGAAUGAGCGCCACAUUCUAUCUCAAUAGGACAUGAAAUGUAAAACGACCUAUAAACUUUGGAGAAAGUUAACUUUUUUGAUGAAAACGAAGAUCCAUCCAUGUAACCAUUGAGAACCACUACUUGUCUCCUUGUGCAUUCUUAAUAUUUAGAUGUAUUAUAAAACCCUAGUAUUGCACAUUUACUCACUUUCUGUAGAGCUAUUAAAGGAGCAAAAAUUUGUCCCUCUGAGAAGAUGAAGAUCAAUGAAAUGACAAUUAUUAUCGUUUUUCCAUUCUAAUGGCUAUUAAUCAAAAUACUACGAGAAUUUCGAAACUUUUAAACUUCACUCCAGAUUUACUCUUUUUUUUGGGUUGUCAAACGUAGUGUCAAUGUGCAUUUUUCCAUGCAUGAGACUCGAGAUCGGACGACGAAUUUCCUGCAUUCCUCUCGAAUUCCACAACGUUUAAACGUCGCGUAACGUUUCCACAAUUGCAAAUCCCAAAGUACCACAGACCACGUUUUUUUUUUUUUUUUUUUUUUUUUUCUGUUUUUGAUUUUGGUUUUGGUUUUUGGUUUCGUGCACUGUGGACUUAUCUGAGCUCCAAUUUGAGGUCGUCAUCCUCGAUUUGGGACGAUCACCUGCGCUGCGUCGCUCCACAUUGACAGCCCCGCCUGCUGAAGGCCUUGUGACCCAGCUCGGGAAGAAGAUGCUGCACGUAAGUUGUGAGGAUUGGUGCGUCGGGGUUGGGAUUAGGGUUUUGUGUGUUGUGUACCCAAGGCUUGGUCUCGAGGACGAGGUUUUUAGUUAUUCGGGUGCUUUCUACGUGUGGGUUUUUGUAUAUAUAUAUAUAUAUAUAUACACACACAUGUGUGUGUGUUUUUCUAUUAUUGAUGAGAUUCUUGGUUGGGAAUGUCCUCUUGCUUUAAUGCUGUAUGGGUGGGUAGUGUUGAACCCGACUUUUCCUUUUGUCAGAUGAGUUUUCAUUUGUGCUUUAAUGGGAUCACUGAUAUUCAGCUGAAAUGCUGAAUUGCUGCUGAUGUUUGACUGAUCAAGCUGUGUUGAGAGGCAGCUGAGAUUGUGUGAACCAGUUGAGUUGGGCUAUCGCACUAGGAGCCCUCAAAUAGUCACUUCCAUUGAAUGGAAAUAAGAAUUAGGCGGUGCCUUCAAUAUUGCAAUUUUGAUGUGUAUUUUCCUUCGGUACUUUUGGGAAUAAGUGUGUGGUUUUCAACUUCUUGGUUUUUCAGAGACAGCCUCUGCCACAAGUCUUAGCAGUUACGUAGGCUGCGCAAGAUGAACUUGCAGGAAAUGAUUCCGCACUUAUUAUGUAGAAAAUGGGCACCAUAUGUUUCUUCAUAAUUCAGCCUUAGAUACUGCGUUAGGGUAGCAAGAGGUGAUUGCUGAGUCUGGGGCUUGAGCACAGGUAUGCUCCCCUUGACUUGGGCGUCGGGCGCUUCUCUGUAGAGGAGGAAGCUACGUCAAGUAUGCGAAUUGGCACGUUAUCAUUCGAGGAAAUGUCAUUGAAUCAUAACUAUAUCUUGCUAGUUCGUGCGAAUGCGUUCGUCCUUUGUUCAGCGCUGCUCUUGGACUGUUAGUUUCAAGUUUUGGUUGCAUGGCUGCAUGUUCGGUGCUGUCAUUUACUUAUUCUGAAUUCUAAGUUGUUCGUGUAUGGAAGCGUUUCUGUGAUGUGUACGCCAUUUCCAUUUUUUGACCUGCUUAGCUGUACUUCGAAGUAAACUUAACGUCAGAUAGUAUGCAUCAAUGAUUUCGGUCUAGUCGUGACAAUGAAGAUUCAAUGUGUAGACCUAUGCGGCUUUGAAAUUUAAGAAAAUGCUGUUGACACUUCAACUUUUUUUUGUGUGUAGAACAGUCAGACGAUCCUAUCAUUGAAGAUGGGAAGGAUGAUAACAACGACGAUGAUAAGGAAGAGGACGAGGAUUAGGGAGACAAUGGACAAGAUGCAGACAAUCUGACUGAGGGCGAUAAGUCAAAGCAGGGUCGUUCUGAGAAGCAGAGCACGAAGGCCAUGCAAAAGCUUGGAGUGAAGCCAUUGACGGGUGUCACAAGGGUGACAAUCAAGGAGAGCAAAAACGUAUACACCGGCAUCUCAUUCUCAUCUGUUUACGUAUCUCCCACUUUGUGAAUCUUCACCGUCUUGGUUUCAGGUAGAGGGUUACGGAAAUAAUUUCGUGCACUUUCCUAGGUUAUGUUCAAAGUUUUAGUUUGGGACUCACAUGUCUUUUGUGUUUCCUCCGUUGCUUAUGAAGUUUUUAAUAUGUGCAGAUCCACUUUGUGAUUUCAAAGCCUGAUGUGUUCAAGAGCCUGGUCUCAGACACACAUAAUCUAUGGAGAGGCUAAGAUCGAGGACUUGAGUUCUCAGCUUCAGAAGCAAGCAGCAUGGCAGUUCAAGGGACCAGAAAUGGCCAACCUAGAAUCCAAGGCUGAGCUCUGUUUUGCCAUUGAGACUGAAGGUGACGACGAUGUGGAUGAGGCAGGUGUGGAACCUAAGGACAUUGAGUUGGUAAUGACACAAGCAGGAGUUUCUCGUGCAAAGGGCUGUCCGGGCCCUUCAGGCAGUAUCCGGAGAUAUUGUUCGUGCCAUUAUGGACCUUACAGGUUAAGGGUAGGAUUAUUGAAAUGACAUGUGAGGUUUUUCCAUGUUUUUGCUCAUGGAAACCAUUUUCUCAAUAUUGAGAAAUCACCAUCACGUCAGUUUGGUUGCGCCAAUCUUCCCUUGUUUAUCUGUGCCUUCUCAGGAGUGUCCUGUGAUUUGUCUGUGUGAAUGACCUGAGUAAGAUCUAGGAUUUGAUUUGCACUUUUUUUUUGAGACCUCCAUCAUGUCUUUUUACACGUACAUGAUUAGAUCAAGACUUAAUUCUAUGCAUUAGCUUUUCUUUGUUUUUGUUGAUUUUAUCUCUUGUGCCAGUGACUAAACAUCGAUUUUUUCAUUCAGUGAAGUCCGCAAAUCAAUCAGUUUGAUGAUAUGCUUGUUCUGUGUGGCGGAGGCUGAUCAGAAGCUUCCAAGGGACAAUCCCUCCUCAAAUUUUCCUAUAAUUAGGCUGAUGAGUAGUGUGUCAACAUGAACCCGGUACAUGCAUGACUUUAAAGCAGUCGUUUGCAUUAAAUAAAUAAAUUCCAAAAGAAACA